rnacentral:lncRNA from 1 species
AUUUAGUGGGAUCUACCGAGUGAUUUUCUUCAAGCUAGUUUUUUAUCGAGCUUAAUGAGAUUGGAGAUCUCAAAUUCAAAUAAGGCAGGACCAACAUCAGUGUUUGCUCUCUCAAACUCGUAGGUAUACUCCACUUUACUGCCAUUUCCAUAUGGUCUUAGCACUUCGAUCACUCUAAUCGUGGUGCCGCGUGUAUUGAAAUCUCCAGCAUCUCCAUUUGUAAGUAUAUGUACAUGGUAAAUGCAUACCAUAUUUGCUCUGUCCAUUACAUCGAUGUUGACUUCUGCCCACAUGAUUGGAAAUCCUAUGCAGACAUAUAUACAAAUAAAUAAAUAUAAACAAAACAGAUAGAGAUCCAAAAGAGUAAUGUUUAAUGGCGUCGGUUUUAAUUUUCCUUACCACUAGCAUAUUCGAGUUUGAACCUCUUAAUAUAGUCAGGUGUGGUCUCGUAGACUAUGAUUUGGGUGUAGACGUCGGGCAGGAGGUUUUUGAGAUCGGUUGAAGCCCAGCCGAGGAACUUCACUAGCUUGUCUGCACUUGAUUGAAGCGGUUACAGUGCUGACAACCUUAAUAGGGUAAGAAGCCAUUUUUGAUGAUAUGCAAGAACAAGUUAACUCAACUAAGAGAGAAUUAAUUAUUGUUUGAUGGAUGCAUCGGAGCUUUACUUAGACCUGUAUUUAUACUAGUACAAUUUCGAUUCCAUCCUAUCCAAUCGCUGAAAACAAAUAGUUAAACUUCAAAAUUUCAAAUGUACCAUGUGUCCACAAUUAUAUUAAGUUUUUUUUUUUUUUUUUUUACACAUAAAAAAUGCAGCUAUGAGUCGACGUAUUCCAUGCAUGCACUUACACUAACAGCUGAUUUAACUUAAUCAGCCACGUUUUUCUUCUUAGCUUAUAGAUAAUUAUUGUCUAAGCAUGUGAAUUUGUCUUUAAUUAGCUUUGUUAUGCGGGCAUCAAUAUGAAGAUAAUACAAAAUAUUGUUUUAAAAAUUAUUGUAUCUUCUCAAUAAAUUUGUUAUACAAGUCCUUAAAAUGAGACAAAGAAAAAGUUGUUUUGAAAGGUUUUUAUCUACCAAAUGAAUGAUCCUACGUGGCUUGUUGAAAACGUGGGUGUGGAAACAUUAAUUAAGUUAUUUUAUUAAUAACAUUGAUAGAGAGAGGAUGAUCAAUUACUAGUUUAUUUGAUAAAAGUGUGGCGAUUUGGACAUUGUCCAAUUGAUGUACCGUCGGAUCCUCAAUUUUUUAAUAUUUGGUGUUUUAAUAUUUCUUGUCGAACAUUACUCUUAAUGUGGCUUUGGUGUUUUUUUUUAUUAAAUUUGCAAUUAAUUUGAUUAUUGACCGUGGUUAACUAUACUCCGCCUGCACUAGUUAAAUGUGAUUUUAUUUCACUUUUAAUGUAAUUGUUUUUAGUUUUUUUCUAAUUUUUUAAACACUAUUUUAUUUCAACUCAAACAGAUUUAUGAUAUAACAGAAAAAAUAUCAAUAGAAUAAAAAAUGAUUAACCAUAAAAGGGUCAUAUAUUUGUUACAAAUGAGAUAUAAAUCUCUCCUCUAAAUAAAAAUAAUGGUAGUUGGAAAUUAUUCAAUAACAUAAAAGAAAAUAAAUAUAUCAAUAAAAUAUUAUAUAUAUUUUUAAAAUUAAAAUUUUCUACUGUUCGUCAUCCUACACAUAUGUUCAUUUUAUUUAAAAAUAAAUUUUUAAAAAGUUAAAAUUUAAAAAUUUUGAAAGAUUUAAUUAUCUUAUUCUAUUUGAAAAUUUAUUUUUUAAAAAAUAUAUCUAAUCAAAUCAUAUAAGCCUAAAGAAAUAUUAACAAAAAUAAUAUAUAUAUAUAUAUAUAUAUAUGGGUAUGCCUACUGAACCCGAAUAAAAAGUAAAUUUUAAAAAGAUAAAACUUAAAAUUUUGAAAUGCUUAACUAAUAAAAUAUAAAAUAUAAUUUUUAUAAAUAAAGUUAACUAAUAAACUUAAAAUAUAAUCAAUCAACUAAUAAAAUAUAAUUGAAUUAUCUAUGUCUAUUUAUUUAAAAAAUAAUUUUUAUAAAUAUAGUCAAUCAACUAAUAAAAUAUAAUAUAAUUAUCUAUAUCUAUUUAUUUAAAAAAUAAUUUUUAAUAUAUUCCAUCAAGUAAUAAAAUGUGAUUUUCUAAUUGAGAAUUACUGAAGUUAUUUUAGGAUAUUUCAAAUUUUAUUAAGAACGUUAUAUGAAAUCUCAUUAUUUCCCUUCUAUUUCCACUUUUGUAUAUAGUAUAGAUAGGUAUAGAUUUUACGUUCCUCCUUUCUAAAGCAAACCAAAAACUUUCCUUCCCCAUCUAAAGGCUACAACAAUCACAUAUUGCAAUGCUUUACUUAUAAGGCUAUGUUCUUUUCGAUAAGCUGUUUACCUUUGUAAGGAAAUUAACAUAUAAGAGGAAAAUAAUAGAGUUGCUUUAUUUUCAAAGCAGACUUUAUCUUCUAUCAUUAUUCUUUGUAUUGAUGUAUUUUAAUCUUGGUGUUUUUUAACUUCAUAUUUUCAGUCUAGGAUUUGGUGUUUUAGAAAAGCCUAUUGGCUUGAGUUUACUUUGCUGAGGUUUGUUAAGUUUCUUCCUUGUAAUUUUAAUUAAUAAAAUUUAAAAUUUUGCUGAUAAAAAAAAGAUUUUAUUUCUUCUAGAGCAUGAAAUAUUUUUAAUUUGUUGCCCUUACUAUUUUAAUUGAUAUUCUUAAUUGUAACACUAAAUCUGUUGUCCAACUCUUCAACUUCUCUCUCAAACACACGGUGUUGUUGUCCAACUCUUCAUCUUCACGUCACGGCAGUGCUGGCGAUGACGUCGGCUCAUUUUCUGAGAAAAUAGCUCCUCUUUCAAAGGUCUUUUAUGGGUCUUAUUCACAUAGAGAAAACCUAGAUUAAUAAACCUUAAUUUUUUUUUUCUAUUGCUUUCAUAUUAGAACUGAUUUUUUUUUGUAUAUAUAUAUAUAUAUUUUUAUAUAUGCAUAUGUUGGGCGCUGCUUUCAGAUUUUCUUCUUUGUUUUGUGUAAUACCCUGAAUUUUUAUUUUCAAAACUUUUGAAUUUUUAAUAAAUCAAAAAUCGGAAUUUGUGCCGGUAUGGGCUUAAGUACCGAAUAAUUUUAAUUUGGGCCUAAAUAGCGAGUUGGACUCAAGCCCGAAACAAGUUAUCAGAACACCUAAUCAAAAAUAAUUUAAACUUCUUAGAAUUGAUAUCAGACGACUUAAAAUAAUAAUAAAAUUAGAUUUACAACUUAGUAAUCCUAAAUUUGAUUCAAGCAAUUAAAUAAAUCACAUUAGAAAGAAUAAAAUGGGUUAUUCAGUAAAUAUUUAAUUAUUAAUAAAUAGGAACCGUAAAUCGGCUUAAAGUUUCCUGAAACCAAGAGAAAAACCAGAUAAUCAAACAAAAAUCGAGCUAAAUCAUUAAUUUGAACCAAACCGAUUUGAAUCGAAUCGGAAUGGCCCAAAACCCUCUAAAAACGCCUUCUCUCUUUUUUUCUCCGAUAUGCAACCAAACCGAUGCAUCGGAGCUUUACUUAGACCUGUAUUUAUACUAGUACAAUUUCGAUUCCAUCCUAUCCAAUCGCUGAAAACAAAUAGUUAAACUUCAAAAUUUCAAAUGUACCAUGUGUCCACAUGUGUAUUAAGUUUUUUUUUUUUUUUUUUAAAAAAAAAAUGAAGCUAUGAGUCGACGUUUCCCAGCCAUGCACUUACACAAACACCUACACUAACAGCCGAUUUAACUUAAUCAGCCACGUUUUUCUUCUUAGCUUAUAGAUAAUUAUUGUCUAAGCAUGUGAAUUUGUCUUUAACUAGCUUUGUUAUGCGGGCAUCAAUUUGAAGAUAAUACAAAAUAUUGUUUUAAAAAUUAUUGUACCUUAUCAAUAAAUUUGUUUUACAAGUCCUUAAAAUGAGACAAAGAAAAAGUUGUUUUGAAAGGUUUUUAUCUACCAAAUGCAUGAUCCUACGUGGCUUCUUGAAAACGUGAGUCUGGAAACAUUAAUUAAAUUAUUUUAUUAAUAACAUUGAUAGAGAGAGAGAAACGUGUGGCGAUUUGGACAUUGUCCAAUUGAUGUACCGUCGGAUCCUCAAUUUCCUAAUAUUUGGUGCUUUAAUAUUUCUUGUUGAACGUUACUCUCACUGUGGCUUUGGUGUUUUUUUUAUUGAAUUUGCGAUUAAUUUGAUUAUUGACCAUGGUUAACUAUAUCCCUCCUGCACUAGUUAAAUGUAAUUUUAUUUCACUUUUAAUGUAACUGUUUCUAGUUUUUUUUCUAAUUUUUUAAACACUAUUUUCUUUCAACUCAAACAGAUUUAGAAAAAAUAUUAAUAAAAUAAAAAAUGAUUAACCAUAAAAAGGUCAUAUAUUUAUUGCAAAUGAGAUAUAAAUCUCUACUCUUAAUAAAAAUUAUAGUAGUUGCAAAUUAUUCAAUAACAUAAAAAUGAUGUACCAUGGGCUCAUAUGUAGAUUAACUACUUUUUUAGCUUCUUAGCUUAAUUAGCCGAUAAUAUUUAUUAUCUAGACAUAGUUUUGGUAAUAUAGUUUUUCUUUUCAAUUCAUAGAUAAAAAAAUAAUAAUAAAAUCCAAUCAAGUGUAAUAUGGUUAGUCUUUUGAAGAGUGAAAUAGAGGGUAACAAUAUUGUGUGACCUACAUUGUUAUUUCAGUCAAUCAAACCUCUUAAUGAAUAAAAAAAAAUAAUAAAAUUAAUUAUAAGUGUUUCACUAGGGAUUAGCAUCUACAUGUGGUCAAAAUCAGCAUGUGAAUGUGAUUGUAUAGUUAGUAUUUUCUAUAUUAACAUCAAUAUGAAGAUAAUAUAAAAUAUUGUUUUUAAAUUAUUCCGUGUUAUCUUAUCACUAAAUUUGUUUUACAAGUCCUCAAAACAAAGAAAAAAAAAAAAGUUGUUUUGGAAGGUUUUUAUUAUCUACCAAAUGCAUGAUCAUACGUGACUUCUUGAAAACGUGGAAACAUUAAUAAAAUUAUUUUAUCAAUAAAUUUAAUAUAUAUAAAUAUAUAUACAGAGAGAGAAAGAGAGAGGAUCAUUAGUUAGUAGUUUCUAAUGAUCGGAAUCAGUAAUGGCUCGAUUGCAAUUAUUGGUUUCAGAGAACAUGGCGAUUUGGAUUAACUGGUCUCAAAAUGCUUUUCAUGUUUCCAUUUUUAGAUGUACUAAAAAUAACAAAAUCAAGCACGUACGGACAUAGGCUGAUUCUUGUCUCUUGUGACAAUCCUUCUUCAUAUUUUUAAUUUUGUUGUAUAUUUUUAUAUUUUUUUUAUUAAAUAAAUUAUAGAUUUAUGUCUAUUCUAGUAUGAGUUUAUAUUAUUUAUGUUUCUGCUAUUAUUUGUGUUUUAUCUCCAUUUUGUGUGGAGUGGAGUUUUAUUUUGUUGUUUGCUUUUAUUUGGUUUAUUGGGUAAGUUGCAAUUUGUGGAGAAUUUUCAACUAUACAAUGAUUUUGGCUUUUUGGAGCCUGGUAGUUCGGCAUAUUCCUCCAUUAGAUCUAGUGGUUCAAAUCCUCUGUGUUCGUCAUAAACAAUUAAUUCAUGGAUAAUUACGUCGUAUAUAGAAGAUUUAAGAAGUUCAUCUAAUCAACUUCUUUUGAAGAUCUAUCUGCUUUCUUUAAGUUCACCUUCUAUCUUUGAUUAUGAUUUUUUAUUUAAUCAAUGAAUAAUAAUUAUUUUAUAGUUUUUAUUUUGUGUCAGGUCUUCAGGAGAGGGAUAUGUCCUCCCUGUGAUAUUUGUAUUGAUUUCAAGUUUUUAAAUGAAAUCCUAAUAUUAUCUUUAAAAAAAAUCCUAAAAAUAUUUAUCCAAUUGGCUUAACAGAUAUUCACUUUUCUUUUAUAUUCCUCAUUAUAAUUGAUUUUAAAUUCUAGAAAUAAUCAUUUUAUUUUAAAUGAGGACAAUUAUGGAAAAAUAAGAAUAUUUUAUAUGAUGUGGCAUUUUAAUUAUUUUGUUUCUUAAAAUUUGUAUAAAAGUCAACAGGACAAACAUUUUGAAACUGAAUAAAUAUCUUAUCAUAUUUUUUUAUUUUGUUAAUUUUUUUUCAAUGACAUUUAUGUUUUGUAUAUAAUCAAAUAAAUUGAAAAAUAAAAUAUCAAUUUUCAAUCCACACAAAAUGCGGAUCCGGAUAACACUCAUCAUUAUAUAUAUAUAUUUUUUAUGUGUUGACAUCAAACGUUCUUGAAAAAGUGAAACUCUUAAAAUUUGAGUAUUUGAUUUAUCUUUUUUGAGAAUUUUCGUCACCAUUUCUCUUUAUUUUUUUAUCAACUUUUUUUCUCCCAUCAUUUACUUCUCAAUAAUAAAUUGUCUUUUAUUUUUAUGAGUUUUAAAUUCAUUCAAUUAUGGCAAUAUAAAAAUUUUAAAUAGUUCAAUUACACGUUUUAGAUUUUCAUAAUUUACAUAUAUAUAAAGAUUUUUAUUUUUAAAUUCAAAUCGAAUAUGCUAUUUAUUUAUUUUGUUAGCAAUCAAACAUGUCAUGGACUCAUGAUAGACAAAUAAUAAAAUAUCUAAAUCUUUAAAUUUUUAUAAUUUACAAAAAUAAUAAUUUUUAUUUUUAUGUAUUCUAAGCUUCAAAUAAAAUAUAGUAUGUUUAAAAUUUUUAUAAUUUGAAAAAUAUUAAAAAAAACCAUAUGUUUCAAAAAUACACAUUACUUUUGGUCCGUUUGGUAGUGAUUUUUAGUUUUUAAGUAUAUUACUAGGUACAAAUUUAUUGAUUUUUAAUUUUUGAGUAAAUUAUUAAAUACAAAUUUUAUUUUUCUUCUCAUGAUAAAUAACCUAUCAACGUUCGAGAAUAGUCUCAUAUAGUUUAAACACGAUAAGAUAAAAUGGUGAGUAAUAUUCUUCUUUUUUUUUUCUCUUUUGAUUUGUUUGAUUAUGAUUUUUAGUUUUGAGUAAAUUAUAAGAGGAUACAAGUUUAGUUUUUCUUCUCAUGAUAAGUUAAAUAUUUUCAAAUCAAUAAAAAUUGAGAUCUUUAAAUUCAAUUAUGGUUUGUAUGACUAUAUCGAAUUUAUCACGAAAAAGGCUACGUAUAUGGUUUUUGUGAUUUUGAUUUAAAAUUCAAAUAAUUGAAUUGAUGUGAAAUUAGCAGUUUUAGCUUUUAAAAAUUUUAUGUUUUUUCUUUUUUUUUGUAACCUAAUUGAGAAUUCGAAUAUUUAUAUAUCAUCAUAUAUAAACAAAAAGUUCAAGAUUUUCCUUUUGUUCACUAUUCUAUUUUUUUAUAUAAUUUUUUAAAAUUUCUUUCCAUGGUUGAAAACUUAGCUUAAUUUUUUAUUUUAAUUUCUUCAUUUUAUAGCCGGUUGAAAGAAGAAUAUUGUGACAUUUCAUUAUUGUUUGAGUUGUUUACUUGGUUUUAUUUUUUCUUUUUCAUUUUUCUUAACUCAGUUUUAUUUUGUUUAUUUUUGUAGAAAUUUAAGUGUGGGCAAUUUCAAGGAUUUAAAUAUGUUUUAUGCAAGGAUUUAACUAUUAUAUUUUAAUAUAUUUUUUAAUUAUAUACUCCAAUUAGAUAAAUCUCUAAAAAAUAAAAAUUAAGCAUUUAAAUCAUUUUAAGUACCUACAAGACUUUAUAUCUAAUAAUAAUUUCAGUCACUUUUCUCUAAAAAAUGAAUUUUUAUAAUUUACUUAAUAUAUAUCUUACAUUUGAAAUGAAAAAUAUAAUUAUUAUACAAAUGUGCGAAGCACGAAGGACCGCGUAGUUAUAUACCAUCCUCCUUUAUUUAUUGUCAUGUAAGUUACACUCUAUUUCUUCUCUUAUAUUAGAGAAAAUAAUAAAAACUCUAGGAUUAAGAAAGUAGUUAAACAAAAAUCUUUGCCCAUAUUUUGCAAUAUAAUACUCUUAAUCAGCUUUAAAUACAUAAUAAACAGUGAGGAAGCCAACUCAUUACUAGAUUAUUUCAAAGGCGUAUUUAUUAGUCAAAAUCUUUAAGGAUUGCAAAAGUUUCAUCAACUUCAAAUUUAAUAGAAAUAUUGUUUUCAAAAAUAGCGCACUAAUAAACAGAAAGUUGUCCUCAGACAUGACGAAUUUAGUUUCUUCAUACGCUAAGUCCAGGAAGAAGGGCAUUGAGUUUGUUUGUUACGACGAAAAUCUGUGCCAAUAUUAGUAAGGCGUAGUGUGGAUUUAAAACCAAAUUUUAAAUGUAGGAUACAAUAAUACAAAUAUGUGACCGUAUUAUGGAAACUUUCCAAGAAAAAUAGUCAUAUUUAUGUCCACAUAUAUAAAGUUGAGCACACUUCUAGAUAAACAUAAUCCCCGAAAGAAUUUCAAUUCAAUUUGUUCGAUAAAUUUUAAAUUUGUGCUUAGAUUAAUGAGGUGUAACAUUGAUAUAAAGACUUUUUUUUUUUUUAUAAGUAGAGUGCAAUAAUUAAAAUGUGUGGCCAUAUUAGGAUACUUGGUCAAUACAAUACUUUUAUUCGUGAUCAAAUUUAUAAAGUUGAGCACAUUUUUACUUACAUGCUCAUAGACGUAGCAAUUAUUCAUGCUUUGGAAACAUAAGCUCAUUAAUUGUCCAACUUACAUUUUAUUAAAAUAUCUAAAUCUUUAAAUUUUUAUAAUUUACAAAAAUAAUAAUUUUUAUUUUUAUGUAUUCUAAACUUCAAAUCAAAUAUAGUAUGUUUAAAAUUUUUAUAAUUUGAAAAAUAUUAAAAAAAACCAUAUGUUUCAAAAAUACACAUUACUUUUGGUCCGUUUGGUAAUGAUUUUUAGUUUUUAAGUAUAUUACUAGGUACAAAUUUAUUGAUUUUUAAUUUUUGAGUAAAUUAUUAAAUACAAAUUUUAUUUUUCUUCCCAUGAUAAAUAACCUAUCAACGUUCGAGAAUAGUCUCAUAUAGUUUAAACACGAUAAGAUAAAAUGGUGAGUAAUAUUCUUCUUUUUUUUUCUCUUUUGAUUUGUUUGAUUAUGAUUUUUAGUUUUGAGUAAAUUAUAAGAGGAUACAAGUUUAGUUUUUCUUCUCAUGAUAAGUUAAAUAUUUUCAAAUCGAUAAAAAUUGAGAUCUUUAAAUUCAAUUAUGGUUUGUAUGACUAUAUCGAAUUUAUCAUGAAAAAGGCUACGUAUAUGGUUUUUGUGAUUUUGAUUUAAAAUUCAAAUAAUUGGGUUGAUGUGAAAUUAGUAGUUUUAAAUUUUAAAAAUUUUAUUUUUUUCUUUUUUUUUUGUUUGCUAAUUGAGAAUUCGAAUAUUUAUACAUCAUCAUAUAUAAACAAAAAGUUCAAGAUUUUCCUUUAGUUCACCAUUCCAUUUUUUUUUAUAUAAUUUUUAAAAAUUUCUUUCCAUGGUUGAAAACUUAGCUUAAUUUUUAUUUUAAUUUCUUCAUUUUAUUGCCGGUUGAAAGAAGAAUAUUGUGGCAUUUUAUUAUUGUUUGAGUUGUUUACUUGGUUUUAUUUUUUCAUUUUCAUUUUGCUUAACUUAGUUUUAUUUUGUUUAUUUUUGUAGAAAUUUAAGUGUGGGCAAUUUCAAGGAUUUAAAUAUGUUUUAUGUAACGAUGAAAUAACUAUUAUAUUUUAAUAUAUUUUUUAAUUAUAUACUCCAAUUAGAUAAAUCUGUAAAAAAAUAAAAAUUAAGCAUUUAAAUCAUUUUAAGUACUUACAAGACUUUAUAUCUAAUAAUAAUUUCAGUCACUUUUCUCUAAAAAAUGAAUUUUUAUAAUUUACUCAACAUAUAUGUUACAUUUGAAAUGAAAAAUAUAAUUAUUACACAUCCAUGCAAAGCACGAAGGACCAUGUAGUUAUAUAUAUAUACAUAUGUCAAAUAUAUUUUUUCCUAAGAAGUAGCAUGAGACAUAUUCUCUUUAUAGGCUUCCACUUGGCACUCUAAGUCUACACUUAGCGUUUCAUCCUCCUUUAUUUAUUGUCAUGUAAGUUAUACUCUAUUUGUUCUCUUAUAUCAGAGAAAAUAAUAAAAACUCUAGCAUUAUAAAAGUAGUUAAACAAAAAUCUUUGCUCAUAUUUUGCAAUAUAAUACUUUUAAUCAGCUUUAAAUACAUAAUUAACGUUGAGGAAGCCAACUCAUUAUUAGAGUAUUUCAAAUUUAUUAAUUAGUCAAAAUCUUUGAGGAUUGCAAGAGUUUCAGUCAAAAUCUUUAAGGAUUGCAAGAGUUUCAUCAACUUCAAAUUUAAUGGAAACAUUGUUUUCAAAAAUAGGGCACUAAUAUGCAGAAAGUUGUCCUCAGAUAUGACGAAUUUGAUUUCUUCAUACGCUAAGUCCAGGAAGAAAGGCAUCGAGUUUGUUUACUAUGACGAAAAUUUGUCCAAUAUUAGUAAAGUGUAGUGUCGAUUUAAAACCAAUUUUUAAAGGUAGGAUACAAUAAUACAAAUUUGUAACCGUAUUAUGGAAACUUUCCAAGAAAAAUAGUCAUAUUCAUGUCCACAUAUGUAAAGUUGAGCAUACUUCUAUAUAACGCAGAUACACAUAAUCCACGAAAGAAUUUCAAUUCAGUUUGUUCGAUAAAUUUUAAAUUUGCGCCUAGAUUAAUGAGGUGUAACAUCAAUAUAAAGACUUUUUUUUAUAAGUAGGGUGCAAUAAUUAAAAUGUGUGGCCAUAUUAGGAUACUUGGUCAGUACAAUACUUUUAUUCGUGAUCGAAUUUGUAAAGUUGGGCAUAUUUUUACUUAACUGCUCAUAGACGUAGCAAUUAUUCAUGCUUUGGAAACAUAAGCUCAUUAAUUGUCCAACCUACAUUUUAUUUGCCACUAUUCUCGUUAAUUGAACCAAAAUAAAGGUAGUAACAAAAAUUAUUGAAAAGCAUUUUAGACUUUCUCUUUUGCAUACUUCCAAAAAUUUUCAUUUAGAUUAAAAUUCUCUAUAUAAAAUAAACAGCUAAAUGGAAAUUUUCUCUAAAGUAAGAAAACUAAAGCAGUAACUAUUAUAUUCAAUUAAUUCUCAUUAAAAUAUUUUUAAUAUUUUAAUUAUUGAUUGUCAGUUAUUAUUUUUAUCAUGAUGUUCUUAUUGUUUAAAAUAAAAAUUUUAAUAUCAUAAAUUUGAAUAUUACAAGUUCCAAAACUAUUUAUUUAUAAAUAAAUUAUAUGAACAUUAAAAAAUAAUUCUAAUAAAAAGUGAAAUAUUAAAAUUUUAUUAAAUAUUUAAUAUUAAAAUUUAUUAAAAUUGCCGCAUAGCAUAAGCAUGUAUCUCGCAUAAUAUAAAAGAGAAACUUUAAUCCCUUUGAUUUGAUUUCACAAACGAUAGGCUUGAAGUGGAAGAGUCAAAUAUUACACAUUUUGAUCUUACAAUUAACAAUUAAAAAGGUUAGUUUGACUCACGAAUAUUAUAUUAUACAUAAUACGUAACAAUUAAAUUUUUAUGUUAAAAUUUAACUGAAUUAUAGAAGUAAUUACUCAUUCAUGUCAAUUUAUACAAUUAAAUAAAAAUAUCAAAAUAUUAAUUAUUCACUAUAGUGAGAACCAAAACCAUAAAAGCUUUUUUUUUUCUUUCUUUCUUUCUUUCUUUUUCUUUAUUAUGUUGAUUGUUACUUCAAGUAAAGGUAAAAAUGGUCAAUGAAAAUUUUUCAACAAGGAAAUGCAGAAUACCAAGAAAAGAGAAAGAAAUAAGAGAAAUUGGAAAGAGAGCUGCAAAGCCUAUGUUUGGUUAACAAGAAGCUUUUUAUAAUUUGGAGAUCAGAUUUUUUUUUUAUUAUUAUUGCAAAGUUGGACUACGUUUAUUUAUAAAUAAAUAGUGACUAUCUGUUUACAUUGCAAGAAUAGCAAAACACAAAUACUAAACCCUACAAUUUCAGAAAUUACAAUAAAGCAGUAAAGAAAGGGGAAUUUUAAAAAAAUAAUAGGCUGGCCUUGAGCUUGUAAAUUUGCAAUCCAAUCAUUCUCAUAGGGGAAAAUUGAUCACAGUCUUCAGGAAAGCUAUAAAUAUAGAAAGAAACAAUGUAUUACAGCCACAUAGUUGCCUUUCAAAGGGCCAUGUUGUCUGGCUCGAUACUUGCCUCGUUCAAGGGCUCUUGUAGCAUUGGGUUGAUAGGAAACAGACCACACUGUGCAUGAUGUGCCAUCAACUGGUCCACGAGAACCAGAGCUACCAUGGCUUCUACCAUAGGUACCGCUGCACCAUCACAAACAACAAUGCACACUCUUAGACCAAAAAAAUCUCUCUUUUGCACUUCCAAAGAAGAUGUGAUUAGUGUUGGUUUUGUUCAUCCAAAUUUUGUUUACGAGAGAUUAUCAUAGGCCAACCGAAAUUCCAAGAGGCUUUCCAAUUAUUUAUUAGCUUGAAAAGGAGAUAAUGGUUUAAAAGUAUUGAUUGAUAGUUGGACAUACAGAUGAAAAACAGAAUUUGGAGAGAAAAAAAUUAACGAAAAACGUUAUAAUUAUUAUUGAAUGUUCUGCAUUUGUUUUCUUGACAUUAUACAGAAGCAAUUGUCUAUUUAAACUAAUAUUCUGCUAGGAAGUAAGUUAUUCUGGGACUCCUAUUACAACACAUAUUCUUUAAUUAUUAAACCUUAUCACUCCUAGAAAUCAGCCUUAUCCCUCCAUUAUUUACUCAAAUCGGCUGCCUUGGGGAUUUCUAGAAUAAUCUACGUUAUCGCUCCUUAAUAUUCUAUUACAUACCUCGUGGGACAACACAAGGAUCAUGGCGACCGCAAGCAAUUAGUUCUAUCUCCAUUCUAUCUCUUGUCACUGUAUUUUGCUUCUUCUGCACAUACAACACCCCCAAAGUUAUCAAACUAUGCACAAACAUUUGAAAAUCAGACCCACGCACAACAAAAUUAAGCCCAAAAUUUUGUCCAGAAGCUAAAUAAACCUUUAAGAAUAAGAUCAAUAAAACCUGCACUGCUGUUUUACACCUAUACACAGCAUAUAUAGAUGCCAUGACAGUUAUUGCAGGGACUAUCUUUAGAAAGAGAGUAGCGCAAAAGAUAGGACUUAAUAAGUUGAGCAAAAAAGAACAGAAAUGAAAAGAAAAGAAAAGAUCCCCGCGUCAUUUACACAGGACAAGCAAUGCUCCUGCAAAUAACAUAUGUAUCCGUUCAUGAAUCAUUUGUGGGGACAUAACCACAAACAGAGGGGGGGAACUUACUGAUAUUGUAGCUGUUGGCUUGAAAGCGACUCUCAUUUUUAUAAUUUCACCAUUGGAAAUUCCUUCCUGCUCAUAAGAAGGAAAUCUCAACAAACCUCAUUGCUCCAUGAGAAUAUCUCACUAAUUCACCCAAACUGAGAAAGCAAACAACAGAUCCAGUAUUAAAACACACACCUGUAUCCCACCAGAACGAUUUCUUCUUGUCCUAAUCUUUCCAUGUUCGUCAAGGUAAAAUUCAUCAUUAUGUUCACUGCCAGUCAAAAAAGUGCCUACAAGGAUUUUUCAUUGACUCAAAUUCAGAUUAAGAUCAUACUUGACACAAUUAAAAAAAAUAUGAAGCAGAUGAUAGCAUUUUGAAUUAUCAUUCUAUAGCUACCAAGCUCAACUAAAUAACUUAAAAGCUAAAUGUACUGGAGUAACCCGAGUUCUUAACCUGCAAACCCACUGCCAACUUCAAAGCCCUUUGACGCAGGUAGUGACAAGAGAGCUUUAGCAAACUCGGCUUCAAGUUUGUCAAAUACUGGCGAACCAAGCCCCUGCAGUACAAUUACAGAUUUUAAUCCUGGUCAAAUACUUGAAGAAAAUUCUUACAGGAUAAGGAAAAGUCAUAAGUUUGAGAGAUUAACUGUCAAAUAACAAUGCAACAAUUGGUGACAAAUACACCUAUGCACCCCCGAACAACAGAUCAUAAAUGCCGGUGUAUGCCACCCACAAAAACAUAAAUGCAUCAUCACUUGCACAACCACAUGCAAUGCCCCAGCAAACACACACGACAGGGAAAGAUUGUUAAAGCUUACACAUGGGGCAUUCCUCACAAUGCAUGUGACCACUCCACCAAUGGAAUCCCCUUUUACUCGAAUGGCAUCAACAGCAGCAAUCAUCUUCUCUGUGUAUUCAGGAUCUGGACACCUGACAAUGUUGCUUUCUAUCUGUAAAAGAUUUCAUGUAUGCAUGGUCAGGAAAAUAACCAUUCAUGAUUGAAUUUUGAAAGAGUCAUUCAAAAUAAAAUGAAAAUAAGUUGGGAUAGAACUGAGAAGACAUUUUGUCAGGAAACAAAUUUUAAAUGAAUUAAAGACAAGAAAUGCAACUAAUAGCAAACAGUCCUCAAUACUUGGAAAGUUAAUCAGAAUAACAAACUUCAUCAAGAUUCUUGAAAGAAAAAUAGGAUAACAAACAAUUCCAGAGAAAGAGAGAGAAGCUCCUGUAAUUUCUGAAAGUCCAAAAAUUUUAUUCACACCAAAAGAAAAGGAAAAAUAACAGCAAUGAAAUUACAGGACAUCAAGCCAUGACCGAAUUUCUGUUGAAAAGUAUCUGAUGUCGAAUGCUAUCAGCCAGCCACAUGGAACAUUAUCAAGAUUUGGUUGCCUGUGUAGUAUUAUUGGCUUCAGGCAUAUAUUUGAACAAACAUGUGCAAUAUAUACAUUUUUAAUCCAACAAAAAACUAACAGCACAAGCAUUUUUUAUUUGAAUCAUCAAUUAUAUCAAUAGAUCAACUCUUUGAACUCAAAGACAGUUUCUAAGCCGCUUUGCUGCCCACUCAUUACUAUUCUCAUGACAUUUUCCAUUCUGGUUCCGGUUCCGGUUCCAGUUCCGAUUCGGUUACAAAACCGACGGUUCCGAUCGAUUUUCGGCGAACCGCAUAAUUUUAAAUUUUAAAUUUUGAAGGCCGGUUUAAAAAAAAAAUUAUUUGAACAUAAAAAAUUAAAAAAUACACCUAAAAAANNNNNNNNNNNNNNNNNNNNNNNNNNNNNNNNNNNNNNNNNNNNNNNNNNNNNNNNNNNNNNNNNNNNNNNNNNNNNNNNNNNNNNNNNNNNNNNNNNNNNNNNNNNNNNNNNNNNNNNNNNNNNNNNNNNNNNNNNNNNNNNNNNNNNNNNNNNNNNNNNNNNNNNNNNNNNNNNNNNNNNNNNNNNNNNNNNNNNNNNNNNNNNNNNNNNNNNNNNNNNNNNNNNNNNNNNNNNNNNNNNNNNNNNNNNNNNNNNNNNNNNNNNNNNNNAACUCAAAAGAAGUUGUUAGAUAAUUAUCAAAUUCAGAAAUAGAACUGGAUUCCCUUAUUCUUUUUUGUCUUUGUAGUAAAACUUGUUGAGCAACACCAACACCACUUACCCAUUGUGUUGGAAAUUGUUGAAUAUUAGAUUGAGAAGAAGUAGAAGUAGAAGUAGAUAAACUAGAAACUUGAACAAAUUCAUUAUAUAAUUGCAUAAUUUUUUGUUUAACUUGAUGCAUUACUACAUUUAUAUUAACAUUAUCUUCUACAUCAAGAUUUAAUACGUCAUAAUAAAUAGUCAAAUAAUCACAUAAAACAUNNNNNNNNNNNNNNNNNNNNNNNNNNNNNNNNNNNNNNNNNNNNNNNNNNNNNNNNNNNNNNNNNNNNNNNNNNNNNNNNNNNNNNNNNNNNNNNNNNNNNNNNNNNNNNNNNNNNNNNNNNNNNNNNNNNNNNNNNNNNNNNNNNNNNNNNNNNNNNNNNNNNNNNNNNNNNNNNNNNNNNNNNNNNNNNNNNNNNNNNNNNNNNNNNNNNNNNNNNNNNNNNNNNNNNNNNNNNNNNNNNNNNNNNNNNNNNNNNNNNNNNNNNNNNNNNNNNNNNNNNNNNNNNNNNNNNNNNNNNNNNNNNNNNNNNNNNNNNNNNNNNNNNNNNNNNNNNNNNNNNNNNNNNNNNNNNNNNNNNNNNNNNNNNNNNNNNNNNNNNNNNNNNNNNNNNNNNNNNNNNNNNNNNNNNNNNNNNNNNNNNNNNNNNNNNNNNNNNNNNNNNNNNNNNNNNNNNNNNNNNNNNNNNNNNNNNNNNNNNNNNNNNNNNNNNNNNNNNNNNNNNNNNNNNNNNNNNNNNNNNNNNNNNNNNNNNNNNNNNNNNNNNNNNNNNNNNNNNNNNNNNNNNNNNNNNNNNNNNNNNNNNNNNNNNNNNNNNNNNNNNNNNNNNNNNNNNNNNNNNNNNNNNNNNNNNNNNNNNNNNNNNNNNAAUUACUCUAUAAAUAUUAUUUGCAGUAUGUUUAUCAUCAAAAACACGAAAACCAAUAAUUCUUUUUUGAAUUUUCCAAUCAUCAUCAAUCCAAUGACAUGUAAUACCCAUAUAAGAAUGCAUUUGCCAAUGAUCACUCCAAACAUCACAACAAAUUGAAACACGAUUUUCAUUUGAGAAAAUGAAAGCUCUAACUCUUUUUUUCCUUUAUUAUAUAAAAAAAUAAUAGUUCGUUUUACAGUAUUUUUUGGUACUCUUUUAGCAGAAGGAUUUAAAGCUUUUUGACAAUAAUUAUUAAAACCUACUUUUUCACCAAAACUAAAAGAUAAAUGUUCCAUAGAAAUCAUUUUUGCUAAUUCUUCUUUUUGUAUUUUGUCAGAAUAUUUAAAUAAAAAAAAAGGUUAGAAGCGUACCCGAAAAUUUUUGUUUGAGACCGAUCAACUCCUAUUUUUGUUGGAUGUUUUGUCUCCAAAUGAUUUCAAAAUGAUCCAUAGCUGCCCGCUUGUUUAAAUUUAUAAGAUUUUCCACAAUAAUUGCAAAUUACAUCGUACAUUUUCUCACCUUUGAAUUUUUUUGUGAAAUGAAUGGAGAAUAUGUCGGAACUUUGUCGUACUCUUGUAACAAUUUUUGCUCAUUGCUCUUGCUCUUGCUUUUCAUCUUCUUGAAAUUGCUCAUUAAAUUCAGAUUCUUGAGUUGGAAUAUCCAAAUUUUCAUUUGGAUAACCCUCAAAAUUAAAUUGGUCGGGAAUCAUAUCAUAGAUGUCGUUUGUAGGAAUAGAUGAUUCUCCAACCUUUCCCUUGCCCUUACCCGAAUUUGAGUUUCCUCCACUUGCCAUUAUAUCAUAAUAAAAUAUAAUUUGGAAAAUUGAAUAAAAAAAAUUAGAGAUAAUAAUUACUUAAUAAGAGAGAUUGUAGAGUAGGGAAGAAUAAAUGAAUAAUAUAGAGUAGAGUAGAGUAUAGUAUAUUGUAGAGAGAGUAAGUAGAGAGUGUAGUAUAUUGUAGAGAGAGUAAGUAGAGAGGAGAUUUUUUUUGUAAUGAAUUUGUAAAUAAAAUGAGGUAUUUAUAAUAAAUCCAAAAUUUCAUUUUUCCAAAAAUAACCUUGAAACUAGCCGUUUAUGGCUGNNNNNNNNNNNNNNNNNNNNNNNNNNNNNNNNNNNNNNNNNNNNNNNNNNNNNNNNNNNNNAACGGCUAGACCCAUUCGACCCGGCGGUUCUAACCGGCAGUUCCAGUCCGGUUCAGACCGGUUCCCUAGAACUGCCGGUUCUGGUUCCUUAUUUGCUGGAACCGGAACCGAACAGGAUUUUUCCGGUUCCGGUUCCGGUUCGGUUCGUCCAGGUUACGGUUCCGGGCCGGUACCGACGAUUCCGGCCGGAACCGUAAUAUGGCCAUGCUUACAUGGAACAUUAUCAAGAUUUGGUUGCCUGUGUAGUAUUAUUGGCUUCAGGCAUAUAUUUGAACAAACGUGUGCAAUAUAUACAUUUUUAAUCCAACAAAAAACCAACAGCACAAGCAUUUUUUAUUUGAAUCAUCAAUUAUAUCAAUAGAUCAACUCUUUGAACUCAAAGACAGUUUCUAAGCCGCUUUGCUGCCCACUCAUUACUAUUCUCAUGACAUUUUCCAGGUAGAAUGAUUAUAUCAGGUCCUGCUAAGAGUACUUUAACCACAAGUUACUCAAAGAUCAUACUAGGAAGGGUCCCCAGAAAGGGGGAACUUCAAUUUCUAGAUUUAGAUAACCUUGCUGUCAAUCUAGAUUUAGAUAAUAUUAUAUUGUAAAGCUUAAUUAAAGGAUACGUUAAUAAACUUAGUCUGUGUUUAGUUAGAUUUAAUGUAAUGUAACGUAAGUAAAGAUGUGAUAUGUAAUGGAAUGUAAUUAAUAUUUCACUACUUAGUUUGGUCAUACAAUUGAAUUAAAUUAUGAAAUAUUAUCAUCAUUCAUUUUUAUAUUUUUAUAUUAGUUUGUAAAUAUAUAAUAUAAUUAGUACACCGCAAUUACCAUCACAACCAUCAACCCACGACCAUCGUUGUCGCCAUCGCCGCCUCCACCACCAUUCUAUGCUAUUCUUUUAUUUUGUCAUAGAAAUGGGUAGAAUGAAAUGAAAAAUCACUAAAGAAUAUCAAAAUACCAUUAAUUUUAUAUUGCAAUUUAAUUUAUUCAGUAAAAAUAUACGAAUUUAUGUGUAAAAAAGUUUGUUUCCAAUAACUUUAACUUUUAUUUUAUCACACAUCACUUUUUUUUUGCUUAUUUUCUUUUAAAUUUUUUUUUGUCCAAAUAAAUUUAUAAAUCUAAAUGAUUUUUAAUAGUUUGAUAUAAUAAUAGUUUUUGGUUUAAAUAUUCUUUUUUAUUAAUAAUUAUGUGUUGGUGGUGGUGGAUGACGUAGCAAAUGCUAGAUUUUAAGAUUGAAUUUGGUUAGGGUUUGACUUUUUGAGAGAUUGUAAUGGAAUAAUAAUUAUAUAGAUUUUUAGAUUGAAAUAACUAUUACAUUAUUUUAAAUAAUGAUAAUACAAUUAUAACACUCAUCACUUUACGGAGUAAGAAAAAAUCCAUUAAAAUAUUGCAAUAUCGCAAUUAACUAUGUAAUGUAAUUUUCAUUUCACUACGUUGAUUAUAUUGAAUGUCGCCAUAGGUUUGAUUUAGUUACAAAUAUAAUUCUUCCAAGUUAUAAUUAAUAAAAUUUAAAAUUGGACUCAAAUUGAAAAAUAAAGAAGCAACUAAUAUUUUAAUUAAAUUUCUGUUAUCAAUUUUGGAAAUGAUAUCUUAAAUUAUAGCUUCUAGUUUGUUUUUAUUUUUCUCAUUUUGUGUUUACAUGUUUUUAGUUACGUGGAAUUAAGAGAAAAGAAUUCAGCUUAGUUUAUUCGACGAAGAUUUAGUUGUAUGCUAAACCUUUGUCAAUUAUCAUGCUUUGAGCUUUGAAAAUUCAAAAUAUAUAUCUAUAUUAAUUUUAUGGUUUUAGCUCAUACAUACAACAACAAAUAUAGAAAUAAAAGCCUACGAAUAGUGGCUCAAUUGGUAAUACAGGCUGGGUAUGUAUGAAGAAUUUUUUGAUUUCACUAAACACACUCACAGGAAAAAGCCAUGAACUUUAACUGCGACUAUGCUCCAAAUUGGAUUAGACGGUCCCCGGUAAUAGAUCCGGAGUUUACACCAAAACAAAUAUAGAAAUAAAAGUUAAUAUGAGCAGUGUAUAGUUAAGAUCACUCGAUGAAUAAUUUAGUCUGAAUUUGUAAAAUUGAACCGCAGACAACACAAAUAUAGCUAUAAAAUAAAGAUGAAAAAUAUAAUUGUAUAAUUGGCACAACUUCAUUAUAGAGGUGAAAAAUAUCUAAAAUAGGUAUGGCCACCGGUUCGGUUCUAACCGGAAUCAAACCAGAACCAAACCGUACUAUAGACCAACUGAAACUGGACCGGAAUCGGCGGUUUAAGAGUCGGUUAAGGUUCAUGUGAAUCUUAAAAUAUGAAUCGGAACCGGCGGUUCCGGUCCAGUUCAAACCGGAUGCACAAAACAAUUAUUGCUUAAAAUUUUUAUAAAAAAAUUUAUAUUACUUGAUUUGAUUGUAGUUGAUUUGAUUUACGGUGAAGAGAAGUACAAUGGUACAUAAGUUAUAAAAAGUGGUGAAAAAAAAUACACAUUUUUUUACAUAAUUUAUACAAAAAAUGGUACAUGAAUAGUUAAUUUAUAUAAAAAAAAUACUUUCAAGUGUAUAAAAAAAGAGUGUAACGAAUAGUUUUUGAUAUAAUAGGUGUUUUUUUAUUUAUUUUUUGGUAAAUAAAUUUUAUUUAUUUUUUAAUCAUUUAUUUAUUUAUUUACUGUAAUUUACUAAAUUAUUCAAAAAUAUAGUUGUUAUUUUUCUAUUAUAAGGGACAAUUUGGGAAACUAAUAAAUGAGAAACAUGUAUAAAUAUAAUGAGUUGAUGAUUUUUUAUUUCACAACCAAUUAUAUCAUAACUCUUCUUUUAUUCUCAAUCAAAAUUCUCUCAAAUUUCCAUAUUUCAUUAUUUUUUCUAUUGCUUUAUUUUUCUUAAUAUUGGAAUUAUCUAUUGUUUAUUUUUUAUUUUCUUACAUCUAAUUCCAAAUUCUUUCUCUAAUCUCACUUUUUUCCAUUCAUAAAUUUACUUCAUUUGAUUUUUUUUAAUAAUUUUCUUAGUAUUUGAAAAUAAUAAUUUUCAACUCAUUUCAUUAAUUUUAUAUUCCAUUUAUAGUUUUCUAUAUUAGUGAAUUAGCAAAAUUUGUAAAUUUAGUAUAAUAAUAAUUCUAAGUUAGUUAAUAGAAGUUUUUCUUUUAAAAUUUUAUAAUAAUUUAUUUAGUUAAUAAAAUUUAAACAUUUUAAAAUUAUUAUUUAUUAAUGAAUUCGGAACCAAAAUUUUAUUAUUUUUUUAAAAAAAUUUGCGUAAUGCUGGAACCGAAUCGGAACCGUAAUUCGAACUUUCGGUUCACCAGAACCGUGUCGAACCGUGCUGAAACCGGAACCGGAGGUUCAAGGGUCGGUUCUGGUUCAAAAUUUUAAACAUCUCAAACCAACGGUUCAGUGAACUGGAAUCGGCGGGGCCGUGUGCCCGGCCCNNNNNNNNNNNNNNNNNNNNNNNNNNNNNNNNNNNNNNNNNNNNNNNNNNNNNNNNNNNNNNNNNNNNNNNNNNNNNNNNNNNNNNNNNNNNNNNNNNNNNNNNNNNNNNNNNNNNNNNNNNNNNNNNNNNNNNNNNNNNNNNNNNNNNNNNNNNNNNNNNNNNNNNNNNNNNNNNNNNNNNNNNNNNAGGCAAUUCAUUCCUUGUAAUUAGGCUUUAGCUUUUUCCAUAAAAGUAGAGUCGUGACCGACCACAUUUUGUGCAUUCCCCCUGUUUUUUUUUUUUUCUUUUUUCUAAUAUCAUUUGUCUUUAUAAUUUAUAAAGAUAUUUUUGUUCUUUCUUCUAAUUACCAAGCACUUACAUGAUUACUAAUUCAACUUUAAAGUUUAAACCUUGUUUAAUUUUACUGUUCAUACUAGUAAUUAUUCUUCGCUGAGGAAUGUUAAUUGGGUUAAAUUUUUGUAGUUAUUAUUGUUGAAAUAUAAAAAAACCGCUAAAAAAUAAAUUAUUCAUUCGUCAUCUGUUAUAUGAAUCGGCAUUUUCAGUAAAUAAUAUUUGAAAAAUUCAUUAGAAAAUCUAAAUGUGAAUGUGAAUGGAGUGCGGUGUAUAAAUUCAGGCAUAUAAAAGAAACUUUCUAUCACUCCAUUUCUUUUCAAGUGUUUUAGCAUUCACAUGUCAUAUAAAUAUAUGCUAAAACCCUAUAGUUAUAGACUUGCCCCUUUCUGUCCCAUCACACCAAAAAAUUCCUUUAUUCCAACCCUUUUAACUACAAAAUUAGACCAUCUUAAAAUUUUUGUUUAAGAAAAAAAAAACUAAUGCGAGUGUUAAUUAUUGUCGCUGUCAGCUCGGGCCACCAUUCAGGUAUUAACAUCUCGAUUUAAGAUAAAAUCUCAUAAUGUGUACGAUCUCUCGAGCACUAAUGAGAGAUCCUGCGCCUUCCUACAGAAUAAUUGUGUUACGGUCCUCAAUCUAUGAUAGUAAAAGUACGGCCAGAGGAAGCCUAUAAAUCUCCUGCUCUUUAAUAAACGUGAUCAAUCGUUUUAGAGGCCGUUUUUGACCUAUAUGGGUAAAAGGGAAAAAAGUAAAGUAAAAAGAAGCCCUAUAUGAAUCUUUAAAGCUAAAGCAAGCAGGGAUUUAUAAUUUUGGAUUUUGAGUGAUUUGAAAAAAAGUUGAAACCAAAUUAACCCUAAAUAAUGUUUAGAAAAUUUAAUAAUUUUUUUUUUCAAAUUGAAUUAGAAGAAUGACAAUGACUCACCUAAUUGGUGUAUUAUAAAUAAUUUCAUAAAGUUACUUGGUACAAAUGAAGGUAUUAUUAUGAUUAUCUAUUCACUGAAAAAAUAAGAACAAAGUAAUAAAAAAUUAUGACAGUCUUUUCAAGCAGAAAUCAACCAUCGACUAAGUAUAAACUAGUAAUUUUAAAUAUAAAAAUUGGACUAAAUUAAAUUGAAAUGAUAUGGUUUAAUUUGAUUUUUAGAAUGAAUUGAAACAAAUAAGUUUACUUUGUAAAUACAAUAUUAUUACACUUAUUAAAAAAAAUUGAAAUCAACCAAUAAAUUAUUUUUCAUAAAAAUUACAAACCAAAUUUUUAUUUCUUUUCUCAAAAGUUCAACUGAAUUAAACUGUUUAAUCCCAUUUAUAAUAAUAAUAACAUUAAUAAUAAUGAAGACUCCUAAAAACAUUGAUAAUAAUAAUAAUAAUAAUAAUAAUAAUAAUAAUAAUAAUAAUAAUAAUAAUAAUAAUAAUAAUAAUAAUAAUAAUAAUAAUAAUAAUAAUAAUAAUAAUAAUAAUAAUAAUAAUAAAUAUUAAUUAAUAGUACGUAAUAAACAGUAAUUAUAUGAGCCAACCAUCAAUAUAGAUAAUUUAUAAUUAAGGACGUCUACGUCAAAAAGUGGAUAGAAGUAUAGAACAUUAUGAUUAUUCCUUAUCAACAUGCAAGGACAAAUAAUUAAUGUCAGUGGUUAUAAUAUUAUAUUAUAUCUAAAGGUUGUGAGUUAAUUGUAAAGUAGCAUGCCUCUAUUCUAAGUAGGACCAUAAUUAAUUAAUUUAAUUAUUCCUUGGUAUAAUUCCAUUUUCUGGUACAAUGUCCCUAUUGUUUACGUAUGGCAUAGGAUGUGCUCCUUUUUGUUUAAUUUUUUAAUUAAUAUAUCUUAUGGAAUAUUAAUAUUAUUUUUUAAUUAAUAUUAAUUGCAUUUUUCUUUCAAUCUCUUUACUUUAGGUAGAAACACAUUGAGAAGUUUGAGAUUUGAAUAUCUUAUUUCACACGAAGGACUUAUCUACUCUUUCUGAAGGAAAAAGAAUAAAACAUUGCUAAACUAUAUUUUUUGAAAUAUUAGUUUUUUUUUUUUUUUUGAAUUCUUUGCUAGAAUAUAUUUGGAUCAAUAUUUGACUAUGUGUCUAUCAAUCAUUCAGUUCACACUAUACUAAAUAUUUAGAUUUUUUUUUAAAAGUAAACUUCAAACUUUUAUUUUUAAAUAUUGGGAAUUGGAAUUCGAAUCUGGAUCUAUUGCCAUAAUGUAUAUGAAUUUACCACUAGUUUAUGACUUGGUGUGCAAAUUUAAACUUUCUUUUAGAUACAAAGAAAGGGAAAACUGUAGAAGAAAAAAGAAAUUAAGACAUAACACUUCUAAUGCAUGGUCAUGCCAACAUCCCAAUGCAUGAAAAUCAAUAUAUCCAAAGGGAGAAAAUUAAGAAUAUGACGACCAAUUGCCCCAUUCACAGGCAAAUUAGCUAGCUUAUCAGCAACUUUGUUUGCUUCUCUGUAGCAAUGUUGAAUAGACUUCCCAACUUCGAGAAAAUAAAUUCAAACUUUCAAAUUGUUAAUAUGAACAAUAGAUACAGGAAGGAUAAGACUCCUCUCGUUAAGAUCGGUCAUUGAAAAUAGACAUGUCCGGUUCAAAACUUUUAAAAUGUUGAACUUAAACUGCCGGUUUAAAAUUUUUAGAAUGUUGAACUUGAACAGUCGGUUUCAGUUCUAGCUAAUUCCAACGCAAAUCUGACCACGUUUCCGACAACAUAUGUAUUAUUUUUUUUCAAAAAAAAAAAUCGGUUCUAAUGUCAUAUCGUUCUUUCAAAAAAAUUAAUGAGUUUAAAAAAUAUUAAUAAAUUUAUUUUAAAUAAAUUUUAGAAUGCUUAUAUUCAUAUAAGAAUAAAAUUAAUUAAUUUUAUAAAAUAAUCAAAUAAAUUAUCAUUUUAAUUUAUCUAAAUAUUAUUAAUUAAUUAAACUGUUAGAAAUUUUUUUAAAAUGCUUCAAACAAUGUAAUUUUGAACUAAAUAAAUAAUUUAAAAGGAAAAAAAAAAUUUAAACUCCCAUUUAUAUCAAUAAAAUAUUUUUAGAUUUUUAAAGGUAUAUAGAAUAUAUUAAGUGAUUAUAAUUUUGAAAAUAAAAAUAAAAAAUUUUCGGUUCGAAUCGGAUAGAAACCACCGAUUUCGGGUUGGUUCAUAUUCAAAUUUUAAUAUUCACAUAAAUCUUAUGCGGCCCUUGAACAGCCGGUUCUGGUUCAAAAUUUUAAAUUGACAAUUCCGGUCCGUUUCAUUUAUAGUACAAUUCACUCCAGUUCAAAAUGAACCGGUGGCCAUGCCUAAUUGAAAAUAAUAAUUUAUGUUGUUAAAUUAACAUUGUUAAACUUGAUUUUAACCAUGGUUUUAAAAAACUUUUAUUAUAUAAUCAUAAGAAUAAUACUUUGUUGUUUUCUUGUUCUUUUUUGUGUCUUGUAAUUUGAUGUUUGGUCGCCCAUCUUAGACAAUGUUCUUUGUCCUUAUAAUAAUGAUAUAACAUAUUAUGUAUUUAUCUAUCUUGUUUUGGACUAUAAACGAAGGAUGCCUAACUUUGGAAUCUACUUUAUCUUUUAUUAUCAUUAUUGGAGAUUAUCCUUUUCAUUAGAAAAGAGUAUUAGAGUCGUUCACUCAUUCUAAUCAUUUUUAUGGAUUAGAAUAUCUUUCAAUCUCUAAUAAUACAACUUAAAUAAUAAAACCAUUUAACAAAUAAUUAUUAUCAUCAUCAUCAUGCUUGCUUCUUGUCAAUUUCCAUACGUGUACUUAAUUAAUUUAUUAAUUUUCUUCCAUUCCCUUCAAAUCCAAUCCCUUCAUGUAUUUGUAUGAUUGAUUUAUACUCCCUCUCUCCCACAAUUUUUAUUCUAUUUUUCUUUUUAUCCAUUUUAAAUUAUUGUCUUAUUUUCUUUUUUAGCAGCGAAUAAUAUAUGAAAUUCACUAUUUUAAAACCUUAUUUAAUAAUUUUUUGUCAAUAAAUAUAAUAAAAUAUCUACAUUAUGCUUGAUUAAAUCUUGAUAGAAUAAACAAAAUUAAAAUAUCAAACUUUAAUUUUUCAAAAAAACUCUAUUUAAUCAAAUGUUUAAUUAAUUUCAAGAAAUUUUAAUAUCAAUCAUUUAAUUUUAAUGAAUAUUAAUAUAAAGAUAUAUUAGAAAAGAACAAAAUAAAAAUUAUUACAAAUCAAACCAAGACAAAGUUUAUGGAACGGAUAGAAUAUAUAUUAACUAUUAGUUCUUAAAUCAAGUUAAAAGUUCAAAUGUAUUAACAUUAGAUAUUUAGAAAAUUUAUGUGAUUAUUAGUUGAGAGAUUAGAGUUAGCUCAUAUAUGUUUCUUCAUCACAAAUAUAAUAGUCAAACUAUUAUAUUAACAUUAAUUAAAUCUUUAUAUAAAUAAAAUUAAUAUAUCAACCUCGAAUCUUCUAAUAAAACUCUAUUCACAAAUUUUUUUGAUUAAUUUCAAGAAUAACUUAAUAUGGAUCAUUUAAUUUUUAUGGAUGUUAAAUAAGAAUGUAUUAGAAAAAAAUGAAACAAAAUUAUAUUGUAAUCAUAUUAAUUAAAUUUUUUUAAUCCAUAUGCAAGUUAAAUCAGAAUAAAUUAUGAGUUCGAGAGAGUAUCAUAAACAAGAGAUGACAAGAAGAAGAAGAUAAUCAUGUGGAUUUUCCCUAUGCAUGCUUACUUUGUAAUCUUACCAAUUUAAUUGGCAAAAUCUAAAAUUUGAUUUUAUUUAACCUUAAUGACCAUCUUUACUGUAAAUAUUUAUUAAAGUAAAAUAACAAGAUGUGACUAAAAGCUAUUAUUAGACACUCUAAAUAUGUCGCCAACAUGCAAACCAUAUAUUUAGAUGCGUGCAAUCUUUUCAUACUAAAAAGAAAGCAAAAGCAACACAAUAAUAGUUUAUGAGAAAAGACAUUGUAGGGCUGUAAAUCAAUCUUAUGUUUAGAAACUAUUUGAAAUUUUAUUCGAGAGAAGCUCAUUUUAUAAUAUUAAGCUCGUUGAAUAAAUAACAAUAAGUCAAGUUUAAACUAAAAUUUAAAUAUAUAAAGAAAAGAAUAUUAAUCAUAAGUUAUAAACAUUUUUUUUUUCUUUUGAGAAGUAAAAUUAGACUUUUAGUUAUAAACAAUUUGAAUUCCAAUACGAAUUUCAAAUUCAAAUCUAGGUCAAAUAAAAUUUAAUUUUUUUUGAAUAUUGGGAAGAGGAGAUUCAGACCGGAUCUAUAGCCAAGUCAUAAGCGUACUUACCAUUAGGCUAUAUAUUAGUGUGCAAAUAAAAUUUAAGUUUAAACUUAAUAGAGUUUAAUCAAAUUCAGUUUGAAUAGGUAACUUUUUAUUUUUUAUUUUAUUACAUAUAUAUAGUAUAUAAAAGUAGAGAAGUUUAUCUUAAAUGUAGCUAAAUAUAAGUUUUUCAAAUUGUCAAGUGUAAGGAGAACAAUUAUUUAGUACAAUUGUAAGUUGUUUUAUAUUUUCGGAUAAUGCCUUUAUCAAUAUAUAAAUGCAAAAUUAUAAAUUAACUGAAACCAUCUAUAUAAUAUAAUAUAUAAAAAUAGAGAAUUUUAUCUUAAAUGACAGCUAAGUGUAAGUCUUUUAAAUUGCCAAGUGUAGGGAGAAUAGUUAUUUAGCGAUAUUGUAAGAAGAUCAAUUGUUUUAUAUUUUCGAAUAACGCCUUUAUCAAGAUACAAAUGCAAAAUUACAAACUAACUGAAACCAAUUCCUUAAAAACUGCUUCUGGUCUUAUAAAAACAAAGAAUUUUAUCUUAAAUAAGUCUUUCAAAUUGCCAAGUGUAAGGAGGACAAUUAUUUGGUAUAAUUGUGACAAGAUCAAUUGUUUUAUAUUUUCAGAUAAUACCUUUAUCAUAAUACAAAUGCAAAAUUACAAACUAACCAAAACCAGAACCUUAAAAAGCUGAUUCAACGAAUUGGCCAAGCCUAAUUUUUUGUUCCACGUUCGUGAGUUUUUAAAUUUAACAUUUUAUUUAGAAAUUAAAAAAAAAAAGUAGGCGGGUUAAGUGAGUCAUAUAUAAGUCAACAUGACCCACUUAAACUGUUUAUGAUAUAAUUAGGUAGGUUACUCUAUGGGUUACACGGGUCGUAUAAGGGUCAACACGACCCACUUAACUUGCUUAUGAUAUUAGGCAGGUUACAUAUAUCGUGUUCAUGUUACCUGUUGUAUUCGUGUUGACCCUAAUUAUGCUACAUGUUAGUCGAAUCCGUGUCGAAUUAGACACGUCAAUCUAUUUUGACACUCCUAACAAUUUUAUUAUUUUGAAAUGAUGUUAUAAAAUAUUAUUUAAUCUUUUAAUAUAACUCUGCACGUUGCGAUGAUUCUAACAUUAGUGUUUUAUUUAAUUAUACUCCGCUAAACAACACCUUAUUAGAAUUAAUAAAUGUCAUCUACAACAAGAAAGAUAACAACAUGAUAGUCCAAUAUCACUUGCAUUUCCAAAAGUAUAUAAUUUUUGGAAAGUAAUAACUUUUUUAGGCUCUAAAUACUCCAAAAACAUUUUACAAUUAAUGAUUGACCCAACCUGUUUCGUGGGUAUAUGUAACAGUAUCUUGUUUGACUAUGACAAGACAAUGGACAGAAUCAGAAACAAGAAUUUUAAUUUCCAGAAUCAUUAUGUUAAAUGAUAAUAAUGCAUUUUAUGUUUGUUUUAUUUACUUAUUUAAAUUGAAAAACAAAAACAUCCUGUGAAUGAGUUAUUGCCUCUCAAGUUAAUGCUAUCGAUCAAGUGUAAAUAUACUUAUUUAACUCUUCCCACAGAAAAAAUUGGCCACUCGAACCUCAUUUCUUAAUUCUAAUAAGAUACAUUCUCUUUAUUCUUAUUAAAUGAAAUUUAUGAUUAUAUAUAUAUAUAUAUAUAUAAAAGAAGAGAUUUACCGUUGAUGUCCAGCUAUUUAAUUAAGAGGCCUAGGUGAAUCAAAUUAUAAGCAUACACCCUAGAUUCGUAAAGUAUUUGAAUUCAAUUUUUUUUUUCAUCAAAUGAAACUCAGUUAAGAAAUCGAGUGGAUUCAAAUAUUAUAAUAAUUUAUUCAAAUGAAUAACAUAUUUUAUAUAUCUCAUAUAUGAUAUAUUGAGUCUGAUUUUAUUUUGACAAUUCAUACUAACUCAUAUAUCCUAUUGACAUUUUAUUCGAUGGAAAAAAAUUAAGUUAAAUUGUGAAAUUUUGAACAUUUAUUGGAGCCAAACUAGAUUUGAAAGUCAACUUAAAUUUUCUAGUAGAAUCCAACUUGAAUUGGAUAUUCCCCCAACAGUGAAUCCCCAUGUUAUAUCAUAUGGGUUCACUAUUGGUUCUAGUGCUGCGCACCAACAAGAUUUAACCUAAAAGCUACAUUAGGGAUUAGAGUAGGGAAGUAGCUGAGAGUUUUAGGGGCAUUUGGUUUAGCUAUUUCAUGCAGCUGAUAACUGUUUCACAUCUAAUAACUACGUUGUAGGUGUUUCAUAAAUUUUUUAAUCAGCAGUUCAUAGUUGAUAGAAGUUUCAAUUAGAUAUUAUUUUCAUUAGCUACACUUUGGAGUUUUUUUAUAUCAGCUGAUAGCUGAUUCAUAUUUAUACUGUUUUGGAUUUUAUUAAUCUCAUAAAAAUAAUUGGUAAUCAUUUUUUUUUCAAGUUGAUAUUUCCUAUGAUAAUUUUAUUUAUAGUUAUUUAAAAAUAAUUUCUUUAAAAUAUUAUUUAAAAAUUUUUAUUUAUUAUUUUAUUAAUAUAAUAUAUUAAAAUAAAAAAAUUUUAUUCACUUUUAAUUUAAUAUGACUAUUAAGGGUAUAAUUGUUUAUAUAUAUAUAUAUAUAUAUAUAUAUAUAUAUAUAUAUAUUAUGUUGUAUAUCUUAAUAGUUAUUUUAUAUUUUAAUAGCAACUGCUAUCAACGUUUUGUUAAAUAAAAAUAAUAAUCAGCUAAUCACCGUUAGUUAUUAGCUAGUGGCGUCACAACCGCUACCCGCUGUUACCGACCACUAAAUCGUCGGUGAACACAAAAUUAGCAUUUAAUAAAUAAUGGCCUAAAGCCCAAUCCUUUUUUCCAACCGAAAGUUUUCAUUUCGAUUGUUACGGUAGAAAGCAACAUAAGCAAAAGGGAUAUGUCAUAUUAUUACAAUUGACAAUACAGAGAAAACGUGUUUGUUGAAAAUUUGUUGGAAGAGCGACCAACUUUUUCAUUAAUAUUAAUCAAAUCAACCUCCAACUAUGUAAGACAAAAUUAUAUUCCAAGUUUGGUUCCUCUCAUUUUCAAUUUUCAGAAAAUUUCUAUUUUUAUUUUUAAAUAGACUAUAAAUCUUCAUUUAAAUGAGAGUAUUUUUUUAAAGGAAGGAAAAUAACUAUAAAAAAUAUAUAGAAAAAUGUAUUUUCUAUUAUUUAGAAAAGGGAAUAAAAAUAUUGAACAAAGUAAUAUAUAGAUCCACAUGUUUUGAAUCUUUUUAAUUUGUAGAGAAAAUAUUGGAGGAAAAUGAGAAUAUCACUCAUUUUUAUUGAAUUACCCAAAUGCUUCAAUUAAUUAAAAAAUUUUAAUCUUUUUUAAAUACUAAAAUAUUUAAGUGAGAACAUAAUUAUCAAUUUCCAAUGACAACAUUUUCUUUUCUCUAAAAUGUUACUCUUUUCAAAUAAAAGAAAAUAUUAUUUUCUUCCCUUUAUUAUAUCCAAACAUAAAAAUGAAAAAUAAUUAUGAAAAACAAAUUCAAUUUCUCAUUAUUUUCCUUUUUCUUGCAAUAUUUUUCUUCCUCUACUUUACAAACAAAAGGAUAACGUAAUUUAUAAUGUACUUAAAAAAAUUAUAAUUGAAGUCUGCUGGAAUCACAAUAGCAUCUAGUACAUAUUUGUAAAAGAUUUAUAAUAUAACCUUGUCUAUUAUAACAUGUCUGAUGAAAAAAAAAAAAAAAAAAAAGAUAAACCAUGUUAAACAAAUCAACAUUAUUAAUUUGUAAGACAAACCAACAUCAUUAAUUCUUCCAAAUUUAUAUUUAGUGUUGUUCGUUUCAACAAUCAAGUUACUAUUCUUUCUGAACAAAUUUUUUUUUUUUAAGGAAAAAAAAAAUUUCUAUUUUUCAAUUAAAACUGUAGUUCAUAGUGUGGCUGAAUAGGCUCACACCACACUCAUUAUUUCCAAAUCCACGUGCAUGUACAUACUGAAGUAGAGCUCGAUCAUGUUGCCCUUGACAAGCAUACUGGGAUUCAUAUCCAACAUACAUACCCAUAUCCCGUAGGAGGCCCAUGUUACAGUGUAAGUUCACAUGGGGCAGCCCAUGUUAUGGACCAGGUCCAGGGGCAGAUCUACCUUGUAGCUCAAGGAGACCACCGUAAGUUUUUCAAAAUUCAAAACUCAAAAUUUUGUAAUGCUUCAACCUGCACUCAAAAUUUCAGCUACACACCAAUGCUGCUGCUGUCUGCUCUGCGGCUCUGCCCUUGAUGUAUAUAAGGCCUGGCUGUGUAUCUACUACAUGAUUUUUUUUAAUUUUUUAAACAUCUCCUUAUCCCAUUAAGCUUCAUAAUUAGGCUUUUGAAAUAUGUUAAGUGAAACUGAAAAGAGUCGUAUAAGAACAAUGAGACCAGGUAUAGUGGCCUAGUAACUAAAUAAACAUAUGUAUUUAUUAACAAGCUCAAUCAUUAUUUCAUGUUGUAUUUAAAAAAUUAGUGAUCACCACAAAAAAAAAAAAAAAUGCGGCAAUUGCUGACGGAAUUCCUCCUUCCUGAUGAUCGAUUAAAAAUCAAUCAACAAAAUUAUAUAUAGAUAGUUUAAACCACAGAUUAUUUUCAUACACAAAAAGAUUGUCGAUCAAUUGAUAAGGAUAGACUAUAUAUAUUUUACAUCACUAAAUUAGCACCAGAAAUCAGUCGCUAAAGUAAGUUGUCGAUAUACUAAUAUCAUAUAUUUGUAACCAAACAUCCUAUAUAUUUUUCAAUUCUGCUAUUAAUGGCGGAAGGAAAACAUCAAUCUUGAAUUUCAAAUUUCGUGGCGACACAAUGACAAAUUGGAAUAUGUACUCCGAUUUCACACACAUCCAUGACAAAAGAUUAUAUGGUGUAACUAUAAUUGGCCACCAUGAAUAUUAUAGUCAGAAUUCCCCAAAUGAUUGAAACCCAUGAGUACACGAUCCAAACAUUAUAUUCAAAGGGUUAGCAACAAAGGACAAAUGUUGCAAAUUUCAGUCUAUAGUCCAUCCUUCAGCCUUCUAUACAUCAACAGUCGGUUAGAAAACAUUUUACUAAUCCAGAAACAAGGAAAAAUAUUUAUAGAGUCACUAAAAUCAGUAUCUUCUCAACUUUUUACACUGUAUUUUCUAAGUAUUUAAGAAAUUUGUGUUCUAUUCUUAUCAAUAUGAAACCAUUAUUCAGUUUCAAUUCAAUGAGACGUUGUCCUUUUUUUAAAACUUCACAAUGGUGCUUAAAUACUAGGCAAUUGCUCUUUUUAGUUUAGUCUCAAUUUGAAUUUUUGGAAUUUCUUGCUUCUAAAUUCUAUUAAUUUUGUAUUUUUUUUAAAUUCUAGAAAAAGAAGUUAUGCGCUUUUAAUAUGCUUAUGGAAAAAUUAUAAGGGGGCAUUCAGUUCAGUUGAUUCAUGCUCAUUAUAGGUAUUUGCUAAGUAUUUUAAUCAAGCUGAUAUCUAACAGAAGUCUUAAUCGACCGAUGAUUCCAUCAAUUAAAUUUUAGAAUUUUUUUGUAUAAAUUGGUAGCUGAUUUAUUUUUGACUUUAUUAGCCUUAUAAAAACAAUGACAGGUACUCAAACUCUUUUUCAAAUUAAUAUUUUUUUAUCAUUUAUUUAUAUUUAUUUUGCUGAUAAAAAAAAGAUUUUAUUGAUUCCAGAGCAUGAAAUAUUUAUUAUUUAUCGAACUGACUUAAUUAGUUGCCCUUAAUAUUUUAAUUGAUAUUCUUAACUGUGACGCUAAAUCUGUUGUCCAACUCUUCAACUUCUCUCUCGAACACACACGGUGUUGCUGAUUUUGUGCAGAUGUUGCAGCAUCUUCACCUCAUGGCAGUGCUGGCGAUGGCGUCGGUUCAUUUUCUGAGAAAAUAGCUCCUCUUUCAAAGUUCUUUUAUGGUUCUUAUUCACAUAGAGAAAACCUAGAUUAAUAAACCUUAAUUAUUUUUUUUUUUCUAUUGUUUUCCUAUUAGAACUGAUUCCUUUUUUUAUAUAUCCAUAUGUUGGGCCCUGCUUUCAGAUUUUCUUCUUUGUUUUGUCAUUUUGAUAAAAGUUUUUUUUUUAAUAAUACAAUAAUUAUCUUAGAAUUAUUUCAUUUGAAUAAAUCCAGCCAAGUAAUUUUUAUAUAUAUUAAAAAAAUCUUAUUUUAUAAAUUUUGGAUUUUAAUGAAAUUGAUAUUUUUGCCAUUUUUGAGGCUAUUCAAGUUUUUGCUUCUUUUGCAUUUAAUGGCUUCCCGUUAAUUGUUGAAUCAGGCUCUAGGAGUGCAGUAAUUUGGAAGCUACACAAACACAAGCGACUUUGAAAAUAGUGAAAAAAGUUUUAAUACUACUUCUAUUCCAUAAUACUUGUCACAUUUAGAAUUUCACGUCCCUUAAGAAAACUAUUAAAUUUAUUUAAGUUAUAAUAAAAUAAAUUAUUGAGUAAAUUGAUUAUAUUACCUUUAAUUUAAUACUAAUUCUCUAAAAAAUCAUUAAAUUGAAAUAAUAAUUAUUGAUUAUAUAAAAAGAGUAAACAUGGAAAAAAUAUUUAUUAAUCCUUGAAACCAUAAAUGUGACAAGUAUUUUGAAACAAAACUAUUUUUCCAAAUCUGACAAGUAUUAUGGAAUGGAGGUAGUAAAAUGAAAGCUCUCUCUUUGAUUUGUACCCAUAUUUCCUUCAACUUGAUUAGAAGACAUAAGCAUGGAUUUAUUGACUUUUUGGCUAAGAAUGAUUUUAACACAGCAGUGGACGUUUUAGUUUGAUUGUAGUUUUUUUUUUUCCCCUUGAUUGUAGGUGAGCUUUUCAAUGUUUUGCAUCUGUUUUUCUUAUCUCAGGAGAACAAGAGGUUUUCCUGAUCAGAUUGUACUGUUUGGCUAGAGUUUUAUUUAACAUUUUCAGGUUAAUUGUGGUAUAUACGUGUAAAUUAUAAAUCAUAAUAUAGAAAAAUAAUUUUUACCCUUAGUAGUCAUUUUACAUUCUGAGAACAACUACUAUCAAAAUUUUAUUAAACAUCAAUAUUCAUCGGCUAACCGCUUUCAACCAUUAACUCUAAGGAAUCAACAACAGCGGUUAGAUAUUAGGCACUAGCUAUAAAGUACCAAACCAUUGUUUGGUUUCAAACCGAAACCGAUCGAUUUGAAUCGGAUCUGUCAAAAUCGACAUUAAUCCGUGGUCGGUACAUGUUGUAGGUACAUAUGUGAUUUAAUUUUUUAUAUAUAAUUUUCUAUUAUUUUUUUUUAAAAGCAUUUGAGAUAGUUCAACUUAAGCAAUUUAGCAUUAUUCAUAAAAGAAAAAACACACCAAACAUAGAUCAUUGAUAAAUGUCAAUCGUACAACAAUCAAGCGAUAAAUGCAGAACAAGACUGCAAUUUACACACCGUCACAUACGAUAACAAACAACAAAGUCUAAUUCAAAAGAUGCUUGAGGACGAGUACUAUGUAAAUCCAUGCACUGGACUUCUUAUUUAGUGGCAUCUACUGAGUGAUUUUCUUCAUGCUAUUGUUUUAUCCAGCUCAAUCAAAUUAGAGAUCUCGAAUUCAAAAAGGCAGGAACAACAUCAAUGUUGCCUCUUUCAAACUCAUAGGUACGCUCCACAUAUAAUUUUCUAUUAAUUUUUUAAAAUAACAUUUGAGAUAGUUCAAAUUAAGCUAUUUAACAUUAUUCGUGAAAGAAAUACACUAGACAUAGAUUAUUGAUAAGCGUCAACCGUACAGUGGCGAAGUGACAAAUGCAGAAGACUGCAAUUUACACACCAUCACAUACAAUAAUAGACAACAUAGACUAAUUUAAAAGAUGCUUGAUGACGAAUACUACGUAAAUGCAUACGCAGGACUUCUUAUUUAGUGGCAUCUACUAAGUGAUUUUCUUCAAGCUAGUUUUUUAUCGAGCUUAAUGAGAUUGGAGAUCUAAAAUUCAAAAAAGGCUGGACCACCAUCACUGUUUGCUCUCUCAAACUCGUAGGUGCGCUCCACCUUACUGCCAUUUCCGUCUGCUCUCAAGACUUCGGUCACUCUAAUCGUGGUGCCGCGUGUAUUGAAAUCUCCAGCAUUUCCAUUUGUCAGUAUAUGUACAUGGUAAAUGCUUAUCAUAUUCACUCUGUCAAGUACAGUGAUGUUGACUUCUGCCCACACGAUUGGAAAUCCUAUACAGACAUAUAUAUAAAUAAAUAAAUAUAAACAAAACAGAUAGAGAUCCAAAAGAGUAAUGUUUAAUGGCAUCGGUUUAAAUUUUCCUUACCACUAGCAUAUACGAGUUGGAACCUCUUAAUAUAGUCAUUUGUACUCUCGCGGACAUUGAUUUGGGUGUAGACAUCGGGCAGGAGGUUUUUGAGAUCGGUUGAAGCCCCGCCGAGGAACUUCACUAGCUUGUCUGCACUUGAUUGAAGGGUUACAGUGCUGACAACCGUAAUAGGGUAAGAAGCCAUUUUUUAUAAUAUGCAAGAACAAGUUAACUCAACUAAGGGAGAAUUGAUUAUUGGUUGAUGGAUGCAUUGGAGCUUUACAUAGACCUGUAUUUAUACUAGUACAAUUGCGAUUCCAUCCCAUCCAAUCGCUGAAAAAAAAAAAAGUUAAACUUCAAAAUUUCAGAUGUAACAUGUGUCCACAUGUAUAUUAAGUAUUUUCUUUACACAUAAAAAGUGUGGCUACGAGUCGGCAUGCACUUGCACUAACGGCCGAUUUAACUUAUUUAGCCACGUUUUUUUCUUAGCUUCUAUAGAGAAUAAUAUCUAGACAUGGUUUUGGUAAUAUAGUUUUUCUUUUUUGUUUACAGCUAAAUAAUAAAUAACAAAAAUCAAUCAGAUGUAGUUUAUUUAGUCUUCUCAUUUAUGUAAAUAGUGAGAAGUCUCGAGUUUGAGUCCUCUCAACCACAAGUGUCUUUACCAACUUGUUGACUCAAGGGAAGAGUUAUUUCUAUUAUGUAGUCUGCAAUAUUAUUUUGACCCAUCGAGUCUCCCAAUAAAUUUUAAGAAAGAAAAUUUAAUUGUAAACGUAGAUCUCCUAUAAAAUUUAGAGUGUCACAAAAUUUUGUUGAUACAAGAUAAGAAAGAAUAUAAUGGUAGAUAUACGUGGUCAAUUUAUUUUACAAAUCCUUAAAACAAGACAAAAAAAGAAGUUUUGGAAUCCUACGUAACGUCUUGAAAACGUGAGUGUGAAAACAUUAAUUAAAUUAUUUUAUUGCUUGAUUAUAAAUUUAGUGUUUUAACUUUUGAGAAUUUUUUUUUUAAUAAUACUACACUAAAUCAGCUCAGAAUUUAAUUUACUUGAUAAAUCUAGCCCAGUAAUUCUUUUAUCAGCAAAACAAAAAGUCUUAUUUUAUUAAUUAAUCAGCCCAGAGUUUUGCAUCUCUUUUUCUUAUCUCUGGAGGACAAGAGAUUUUCUUUAUCAUAUUGUAUUGUUUAGUCAGAUUUUUAUUUGAUAUUUUCAGGUCAGUUGUGGUGCAUCACUGAAGCCUAGUGGUUUGGAGUAGAUUCCUAAUAAAAAAAAAAUUUCGUUGGUAAUAAGCAAAAAUAGUACAUAUGUAAUAUAGCCUAGUAAUUCAAAAGGAAAUAUGAAAAUGAGUUAAAUUGACAGUAGAAAAAAGUAAUUGAAAAUUAAUUUUAGGACUAAUUAAUCGCCAAGUCUGCUAAUGCAGAUAAUUCUGAAGGUUGUAUAAGCGCUCCUUUUUUCGACCAUCUUAAUUGUUGUAAAGUGGUGCUUGGUAUUCGAUAUUUACAUUUUCUAAUUUAUAAAAUCUAUUAAUUUUAUAUUUGAAUCUCGAAAAAAAAAAUAUAUCACAUUUAAUUUGUUGAAAGAAAUGAUAUAGAAAAAUGUUUGGUUCAACUGAUGCAUGUAGCUAAUAGCUGAUGAGUUAGGUUGCAGAUGCAUGUAGCUAAUAGCUGAUGAGUUAGGUUGCAGGUGUUUGAUGAAGAUUUUAAUUCCCAACCCAUAUUUGAUAGAAGUCUCACGCUCCAUGCCAUCAGCUUUAUUUUAAAGCUUUUUAGUAUGAGUUAGCAUUAGAUUUAUAUUUGGACUUUGUUAGCCUUAUAAAAAUAAUUAUCAAUAAUUUUUUUAAAUUAAUAUUAUUUUUUAUAAUCUAUGUAUAAUUAUUUAAAAAUAAUUAAAUAUUAUUAAACACCAUUUAAAAAAAAUUAAGACUUUUGAUUUAUGUAACACUUAAAAAGGCAUGAUAUUUACCUUAAACUUGUUAUAUAUGUGUAAGUUAUAAUUCAUAAUAUUAAAAAAUAUUGAGCUGUUUUAACUUAGUUGGUUAGAGCAUCAGUUUAGUAAGCUGGAGGUUUUGAGUUCAACUCCAAACCAAAAUAACAAUCUUUUUAAUAAAAAAAAAUUGUUAAUAUUGAAAAAUACUUUUUAGUCAUUUUACAUUCUGAGAACAACAUCAACUAUAUGGUAUCAACAACCGAUAUUAGAUAUCAUCUAGUGUGAAUAAUUAAACCAAACCACGGCUUGAGGUUUAAUGUGUAUAAAUCUUGAUUGAGAUUUAGUAGAGAACCGAAAACGUAAUAAUCUCCCUUAAGCAUGUAAGGGCAAUCAAAUGAAUUUAAUGGUAAAAGAAUUUUCAAAAGUCUUAGAUUUAAUAUAAUUUGAUUUGUUAAUAACGCUAAUAAUAUUAGUUGCUUGAUAUCAAACAAUGCAAAGAUAAAUAUAAAAAAUACUUCUCUCUAAUAAAAUAUUAUAGGUUCAGUAUAUAAAUUCACUUUUGUUCUUUUCACGAAAAAGAUUGGAGCUCCCUCACUUUUACUUUGAUCCAUAAAAAGCUUCAACUUAUAAAAUUAGACCUGUUAAUACUUUAUUUCACGCAUUAAACACCUCAACUUAUAAAAUUAGAUAGAUUAAACACCUAUUAUAUAAUUAAAAAUGUGAAAAUUAUUAUUGCAAAAGUUAUAUUAAUCACAUAUUAAAUUAAUAUUUUGCGUGCAAAAACCAAAAACAUUUGUUUUUAGUAUAAAGAGGUGUAACUGACACUAAAAUCAAAAUUAGGCAUGACCCUUGUUUGGUUUCAAACCGAAACCUAUCAAUUUGAAAUUGGAGUGGUCAAAAUUGACACUAAACCGUGGCCGAUACUCAUUGUCUGCAUGUACGUGAUUUAAUUUUUUUAUAUAUAACUUUCUAUUUAUUUUUUUAAAAAACAUUUGAGAUAGCUCAAAUUAAGCUAUUUAACACUGUUCCCGAAAGAGACACACCAGACAUAGAUUAUUGAUAAGCGUCAGCCGUACAAUGACAAAGUGAUAAAUGCAGAAGACUGCAAUUUAUACACCAUCACAUACAAUAAUAGACAAUAUAGACUAAUUUAAAAGAUGCUUGAUGGCAAAUACUGCGAAAAUGCAUACGCAGGAUUCCUUAUUUAGUUGCAUCUACUGAAUGAUUUUUUUUUUUUUUUAUGGAUAAAAAAUGUAGCUAUGAGUCGACAUAUUGCAUGCAUGCACAUCCAGUAACAGCCGAUUUAACUUAAUCAGCCACGUUUUUCUUCUUAGCUUAUAGAUAAUUAUUGUCUAAGCAUGUGAAUUUGGCUUUAAUUAGCUUUGUUAUGUGGGCAUCAAUAUGAAGAUAAUAAAAAGAUUGUUUUUAACUUAUUGUACCUUAUCAAUAAAUUUGUUUUACAAGUCCUUCAAAUGAGACAAAAAAAAAAGUUGUUUUGAAAGGUUUUUAUCUACCAAAUGCAAGAUCCUACGUGGCUUCUUGAAAACGCGGGGGUGGAAACAUUAAUUAAAUUAUUUUAUUAAUAACAUUGAUAGAGAGAGGAUGAUCAAUUACUGGUUUAUUUGAGAAACGUGGCGAUUUGGACAUCGUCCAAUUGAUGCACCAUCGAAUCUUCAAUUUUCUAAUAUUUGGUGUUUUAAUAUUUUUUUGUCUAACAUUACUCUUACCGUGGCUUUGGUGUUUUUUUUUUUAUUAAAUUUGCGAUUAAUUUGAUUAUUGACCGUGGUUAACUAUAUCACUCCUACACUAGUUAAAUGUAAUUUUAUUGCACUUUUAAUUUAACUGUUUCUAGUUUUUUUCUAAUUUUCUAUACACUAUUUUCUUUCAACUGAAACAGAUUUAUGAUAUAGGAGAAAAAAUAUCAAUGAAAUGAAAAAUGAUUAACCAUAAAAAGGUCAUAUAUUUAUUGCAAGUGAGAUAUAAAUUUCUCUUCUAAAUAAAAAUGAUAGUAGCUGCAAAUUAUUCAAUAACAUAAAAGAAGAUUAAAAAAAUUAUUAUUAAAAAUAAAAGUCUUUUCAGAACUCACCUAAAAAAAAAUAUUUCAAUGUAUAUAGAUAUACACGUAUAUCAAUAAAAUAUUAUAUAUAUUUUUAAAAUUAAAAUUUUUAACCGUUCGUAAAAAUAUUUCAAUGUAUGUAGAUAUACACGUAUAUCAAUAAAAUAUUAUAUAUAUUUUUAAAAUUAAAAUUUUCAACCGUUCGUCAUCCUACACAUAUGUUCAUUUUAUUUAAAAAUAAAUUUUAAAAAGUUAAAAUUUAAAAAUUUUGAAAAGUUUAAUUAUAUAUAUUCUAUUUGAAAAUUUAUUUUUGAACAAAAUAUAUCGAAUCAAAUCAUAUAGACGUAAAAAAAUAUUAAUAAAAAUAAUAUACUUUUUCUUUUUUUUUUUUUACUCCUAAAAAAUAUCAUGUAUAAUUAUAUAUAUUCUAUUUGAAAUUUUAUUUUUGAAAAAAUAUAUCGAAUCAAAUCAUAUAGACGUAAAAAAAUAUUAAUAAAAAUAAUAUACUUUUUCUUUUUUUUUUUUUACUCCUAAAAAAUAUCAUGUAUAAUUAUAUAUAUUCUAUUUGAAAUUUUAUUUUUGAAAAAAUAUAUCGAAUCAAAUCAUAUAGACAUAAAAAAAUAUUAAUAAAAAUAAUAUACCUUUUCUUUUUUUUUUUUUUACUCCUAACAAAUAUUAUGUACAUUUUAUUUGAAAAUUUAUUUUUUAAAAAAUACAUCCAAUCAAAUCAUAUAAACAUAAAGAAAAAAAAAGAAUAUCAAUAAAAGAAAUAUACUCUUUUCUUUUUUAUCGAUCUCCUAAAUAAAAUAUUAUAAAUUAUAAUCAAAAUAGAAUCAAAUAUUUCAAAAAUAAAACAUAAAAAUAUUUAAAUGUCUCGUUAUCAUAUAUAUUUAUUAAAAAGUAAAUUUUAAAAAUAUAAAACUUAAAAUUUUGAAAUGCUUAACUAUCUAUAUCUAUUUGUUUAAAAAAUAAUUUUUAUAAAUAUAGCCAAUCAAUUAAUAAAAUAUAAUUUAAUUAUCUAUAUAUAUUUAUUUAAAAAAUAAUUUUUGAUAUAUAUUCCAUCAAGCAAUAAAAUGUGAUUUUCUAAUUAACAAUAACUAAAAUUAUUUUAUAAUAUUUCAAAUUUCAUUAAGAACACUAUAGAAAAUCUCAUUAUUCCUCUUAUAUUCCAAUUUUUGUAUAUACUAUAGAUAUAUAUGGAUUUUACUUUCCUCCUUUCUAAAGCAAACCAAAAACUUUCCUUCCCCAUCUAAAGGCUACAACAAUCAUCUUCUAUCAUUGUUCGAUGUAUUUUAAUCUGAGUGUUUUUUAAAUUAACAUUCUUCGUCUAAGAUUUGGUGUUUUGGGAAGUCUAUUGACUUGAGUUUCCUUUGCUGAGGUUUGUUAAUGAAAUGACUCGAAAAAUUUUUUUCAAAAAUUAUUCAUUUAAAAAUUUAAUCAUAAAUUCUAACUAAUAAAAUUCAGCGGAAAAUAAUUUUAUUAUUGCCAACCCAAACGCUUAAACCAAGUGAAAAUCUUGUAAACCAAGCAAAACUUGAGCCAAAUCCUUGAAUUGAGCCAAAUCUGUUCGAAUCGAAGCGAAAUUGGCCUAGAAAGCUCUAGCAACCCUACUCUUUUUUUUUCUUUUCCUUUUCUCUUCUUCUUCUUCUUCUUCUCACGCGCGCAGCUCACCUCUCUCCCCUUCUCUCUGUUAAUCCGGCCACUGCGUGAGCCAGCCGACGCCACCUCCUCUUCGUCGUCGCGCCGCCAGUUUCUCUCUCUCGAUUUUCGACUCCGGUGAACGCCGCAGGCAGGGAGUUGCGAUCCUUCCAUGGCGAACGACACAGCAGCGCCUUCGCCCGUCUCAGGCGAUUUCAUGUUGUUACCGGCGGUUCCAGUGGGAAAGACAAGUGUCGAUCGAGAAGUCAGACGUCGGAAAGAAAGCGACACCGCUGCUGGAAAACCAGAGAGAGGAGAAGAGAUUUAGGGCCAAACAAUAAUUUGAAAGUUUCUAGGGUCUUCUAAAGUGAUUUAGGUACGAUUUGAGUUCGAUUUGAUCCAAAUCGUGAGUUUUGUUUGAUUUUAAUUGGUUUACAGGUUUGAUUUAACAAAUAUAAUUUAUAUUUCCCUUAAAUUUUAUUAAAUAAUCCCAUUGGCUAGAAUUUAUGAUUAAAUUUUUAAAUGGAAAAUUUUUGAAAUUAAUUUUCCAGGUUAUUCAGUAAUAAAAAAUAUUGUUUUUAACUUAUUGUAUCUUAUCGAUAAAUUUGUUUUACAAGUCCUUCAAACGAGACAAAAAAAAAAAGUUGUUUUGAAAGGUCUUUAUGUACCAAAUGCAUGAUCCUAUCUAUAAAUUUGGGCAUCAAUACGAAGAAAAUAAAAAUAUUGUUUUUAACUUAUUGUAUCUUAUCUAUAAAUUUGUUUUACAAGUCCUUCAAAUGAGACAAAAAAAAAAAAAAGUUGUUUUGAAAGGUUUUUAUCUAGGGGUGGCCACGGUUCCGGAAUCCGAACCGAACCGAAAAUUUUCAGUUCCGAUUCCGGUUCGGAACCGAGCGGUUCCGGUACGUUUUCAAAAUCGACAGUUCCGAUCGGUUUUUCGACCGAUUUUUCGAUAAUUGGCAUAAUUUAAAAUUUUAAAUUUUGAAGACCGGUUUUCAAAAUUUAAUAAAUUUGUAAACAUUAUUUCUAAAAAAAAUACACCUAAAAAAUUAAAAAAUGCUUCAAUUAAAUUUAUUUUUUUAAAGACUUAAAACAACAACAAAGAAACGCAAACCCAACCAACCCAUUAGGGAAAAAGGAAUUAACAAGAAAAUAAAAAGAUGAUCCAACCCAUUAGCACUUGAUACAAUUGAUAAAAAUAAAAAAAUAAAGUAGAAGAAGAAGCAACAGACGUGGAGGUAAAAAAGAAAAAGACUUUACCUGUUAGUUCGGUGGUGGGUUUGAAGGGGAAGCCUAUGACUGGUUGAUUUUCUUGAUAGGGUAAAGAAAAUCACAACAAAAUUAAAAAAAAAAAAAAAUGACAGUUUGGCUUGAACCGCCGGUUUGAACCGGCGGUUCUAACCGGCUGGAGAACCGGCGGUUUCAAUCCAGUUCCGACCGGUUUUAUGAAACCGCCGGUUUGCGGUUCCACAAAUUUAGAACCGAAAAUCUCCAGUUUCGGUUCCGGUUACGUUCAAAAUCAGUUCGAACCAACGGUUCCGGUUCCCAAAAUCGUACUAUGGCCACCCUUAUUUUUAUCUACCGAAAUUAAACUUCAAAAUUUCAGAUGUACCAUGUGUCCACAUGUAUAUCAAGUAUUUUCUUUACACAAAAAAUGUGGCUAUGAGUCAGCAUCUUGGAUGCAUGCACUUGCACUAACAGCCGAUUUAACUUAUUUAGCCACGUUUUUUUCUUAGCUUCUAUGGAGAAUAAUAUCUAGGCAUGGUUUUGGUAAUAUAGUUUUUCUUUUUAGUUUAUAGCUAAAAAAUAAAUAACAACAAUUAAUCAGACGCAGUUUAUUUGGUUCUCACUUAUAUAAAUAGUGAGAGGUCUCGAGUUUGAGUCAUCUCGAUUACAAGUAUUUUCACCAAUUUGGUGACUCAAAAGAAGAGUUAUUUCUAUUAUGUAGUCUAAAAUAUUGUUUUGGACCAUCGAGCCUUUCAAUAAAUUAAAAAAAAAUAAAAUUUAAUUAUAAGCAUAGGUCUCCUAUAAAAUUUAGAGUGUCACAAACUUUUGUUGAUAAAGGAUAAGAAAGAAUAUAAUGGUAGAUAUCCGUGAUCUCUUUAUUUUACAUGUCCUUAAAACAAGACAAAAAAAAGAAGUUUUGGAACUUAAAAAAUAAUUUUUAUUUAAAAAUAAUUUUUAUAAAUAUAGUUAAUCAACUAAUAAAAUAUAAUUUAAUUAUCUAUAUCUAUUUAUUUUAAAAAUAAUUUUAAUAUAUAUUCCAUCAAGUAAUAAAAUGUGAUUUUCUAAUUGGCAAUUACUAAAGUUAUUUUAGGAUAUUUCAAAUUUCAUUAACGACGUUAUGGGAAAUCUCAUCAUUUCUCCUCUAUUCCCACUUUUGUAUAUAAUAUAGAUAGAUAUAGAUUUUAUUUUCCUCCUUCCUAAAGCAAACCAAAAACUUUCCUUCUUGACAGCUCUUUUCGCAAAGUGUACGAAAUCGCUACAAAUAAUAUAUGAUGAAUAGAAUAUCGUUCCCACGAGAAUUGUAUACCAAGUACCAAAAUUAUAUUGCCCUACUAUUAUUUAAACGGUAAUUUAGGAGAUUGUUUUAAGAAUUUAAAUUCAACAAAUGAAAAUAAGAAGAAAUCAAGCAAGCAAUUAUUGAUUAAAGAAAUCAAGGAUUUAAAGCUAUUAGGCAUUUUGACUUCACUUAAUUCUCUCCAAUUUAUUUUAUUAGUUUGAUAAUCAAUUUUAAUUAUUUAAGUAGGAAAACAACCCUAAAAUCACUAACAACCCUAAAAUCACAUUUUGCCCUAAAAUGUAAUUUUUUAAUUGGCAAUUACUAAAGUUAUUUUAGGAUAUUUCAAAUUCCAUUAAGGACGUUAUAGGAAAUCUCAUUAUUUAUUGAAAGAAACACACCAGACAUAGAUUAUUGACAAGCGUCAACCGUACAAUUACGAAGUGAUAAAUGCAGAAGACUGCAAUUUAUACACCAUCACAUACAACAAUACACAACAUAGACUAAUUUAAAAGAUACUUGACGGCGAAUACUACGUAAAUGCAUACGCAGGACUCCAUAUUUAGUUGCAUCUACUGAGUGAUUUUUUUUUUUUUAUGGAUAAAACAUGUAGCUAUGAGUCGACAUAUUGCAUGCAUGCCCAUCCAGUACCAGCCGAUUUAACUUAAUCAGCCACGUUUUUCUGCUUAGCUUAUAGAUAAUUAUUGUCUAAGCAUGUGAAUUUGGCUUUAAUUAGGUUUGUUAUGUGGGCAUCAACAUGAAGAUAAUAAAAAUAUUGUUUUUAACUUAUUGUAUCUUAUCAAUAAAUUUGUUUUGCAAGUCCCUCAAAUGAGACAAAAAAAAAAAAAAAAAAAAAAAAAAGAGGUUGUUUUGAAAGGUUUUUAUCUACCGAAAUUAAACUUCAAAAUUUCAGAUGUACCAUGUGUCCACAUGUAUAUCAAGUAUUUUCUUUACACAUAAAAAAUGUGGCUAUGAGUCGGCAUAUUGGAUGCAUGCACUUGCACUAACAGCCGAUUUAAAUUAUUUAGCUACGUCUUUUUCUUAGCUUCUAUAGAGAAUAAUAUCUAGACAUGGUUUUGGUAAUAUAGUUUUUCUUUUUAGUUUCUAGCUAAAAAAUAAAUAAUAAAAAUCAAUCAGAGGUAGUUUAUUUAGUCUUCUAACUUAUGUAAAUAGUGAGAGGUCUCGAGUUUAAAUCCUCUCGACCACAAGUGUCUUCACCAAAUUAAUGACUCAAGAGAAAAGUUAUUUCUAUUAUAUAGUCUACAAUAUUAUUUUGGCCCAUCAAACCUCCCAAUAAAUUUUAAAAAAUAAAAUUUAACUAUAAGCGUAGGUCUCCUGUAAAAUUUCACAAAAUUUUAUUGACAAAGGAUAAAAAAGAAUAUAAUGGUAGAUAUCUGUUAUCAAUUUAUUUUACAUGUACUUAAAACAAGACAAAAAAGAAGUUUUGGAAUUCUACGUAACAUCUUGAAAACGUGGGUGUGGAAACAUUAAUUAAAUUACUGGUUUAUUCUAGAAAUGUGGCGAUUUGGACAUUGUCCAAUUGAUGUACCAUCGGAUCCUCAAUUUUUUAAUAUCUGGUGUUUUAAUAUUUUUUGUCUAACAUUACUCUUACUGUGGCUUUGGUGGUUUUUUUUAUUAAAUUUGCGAUUAAUUUGAUCAUUGGCCGUGGUUAACUAUACCCUUCCUACACUAGUUAAUGUAAUUUUAUUUCACUUUUAAUGUAACUGUUUCUAGUUUUUUUAAAAUUUUCUAAACAUUAUUUUCUUUCAACUCAAACAGAUUUAUGAUAAAAAAGAAAAAAUAUCAAUGAAAUUAAAAAUGAUUAAACAUAAAAAGGUCAUAUAUUUAUUGCAAGUGAGAUAUAAAUCGCUCCUCUAAAUAAAAAUUAUAGUAGUUGCAAAUUAUUCAAUAACAAAAAAGAAAAUUAAAAAAUUAUUAUUAAGAAUAAAACUCUUUUCAGAACUCACUUAACAAAAAAUAUUUCAAUGUAUAUAGAUAUAUAAAUAUAUCUAAUCAAAUCAUAUAAGCAUAUAGAUAUAAAAAUAUAUCUAAUCAAAUCAUAUAAGCAUAAAGAAAUAUUAAAAAAAAUAAUAUACUUUUUUAUUUUUUAUUUUACUCCUAAAUCAAAUAUUAUGUAUUUUCUAUUUGAAAAUUUAUUUUUUAAAAAAAUACAUCCAAUCAAAUCAUAUAAUAUAAGGGAAAAAAAAAGAAUAUCAAUAAAAAGAAUAUAAUCUUUUUUUUAUUUAUCUUCUAAAUAAAAUAUUAUAAAUUAUAAUCAAAAUAGAAUCAAAUAUUUAAAAAAUAAAAUAUAAAAAUAUUUAAAUGUCUCAUUAUGAUAUAUAUUUAUUAAAAAGUGAAUUUUGAAAAGAUAAAAUUUAAAAUUUUGAAAUGCUUAACUAAUAAAAUAUAAAUAUAAUAUUUAUAAAUAAACUUAUCUAAUAAACUUAAAAUAUAGUCAAUCAACUAAUAAAAUAUAAUUUAAUUAUCUAUGUCUAUUUAUAUAAAAAAUAAUUUUUAUAAAUAUAGCCAAUCAACUAAUAAAAUAUAAUUUAAUUAUCUAUAUCUAUUUAUUUAAAAAAUAAUUUUUAGUAUAUAUUCCAUCAAGUAAUAAAAUGUGAUUUUCUAAUUGGCAAUUACUAAAGUUAUUUUAGGAUAUUUCAAAUUUCAUUAAAAAUCUCAUUAUUUUCCCUUUAUUCCCACUUUUAUAGAUAGAUAUAGAUUUUAUUUUCCUCCUUUCUAAAGCAAACCAAAAACUUUCCUUCCUCAUCUAAAGGCUACAACAAUCACAUAUUCAAUGCUUUAUUUAUAAGGUUAUGCUUUUUUCGAUAAGCUGUUUACCUUUGUAAGGAAAUUAACGUAUAAGAGGAAAAAGAUAGAGUUGUUUUAUUUUCAUAGCAGAUUUUAUCUUCUAUCAUUGUUCUUUGUAUUGAUGUAUUUUAAUCUGUGUGUUUUUUAACUUAACAUUCUCCGUCUAGGAUUUGGUGUUUUAGGAAAGUCUAUUGGCUUGAGUUUACUUUGCUGAGGUUUUUUAAGUUUUUUCCUGGUAAUUUUAAUUAAUAAAAUUUAAAAUUUUGCUGAUAAAAAAAAAAGAUUUUAUUGAUUCCAGAGCAUGAAAUAUUUUUUAUUUAUCGAACCGACUUAAUUAGUUGCCCUUACUAUUUUAAUUGAUAUUCUUAACUGUGACGCUAAAUCUGUUGUCCAACUCUUCAAUUUCUCUCUCGAACACACACGGUGUUGCUGAUUUUGUGCAGAUGUUGCAGCAUCUUCACCUCAUGGCAGUGCUGGCGAUGGCGUCGGUUCAUUUUCUGAGAAAAUAGCUCCUCUUUCAAAGUUCUUUUAUGGUUCUUAUUCACAUAGAGAAAACCUAGAUUAAUAAACCUUAAAUUUAUUUUUUUUUUUCUAUUGUUUUCCUAUUAGAACUGAUUCCUUUUUUUAUAUAUUUUUUUAUAUAUCCAUAUGUUGGGCCCUGCUUUCAGAUUUUCUUCUUUGUUUUGUCAUUUUGAUAAAAGUUUUUUUUUUAAUAAUACAAUAAUUAUCUUAGAAUUAUUUCAUUUGAAUAAAUCCAGCCAAGUAAUUUUUAUAUAUAUUAAAAAAAAUCUUAUUUUAUAAAUUUUGGAUUUUAAUGAAAUUGAUAUUCUUGCCAUUUUUGAGGCUAUUCAAGUUUUUGCUUCUUUUGCAUUUAAUAGCUUCCCGUUAAUUGUUGAAUCAGGCUCUAGGAGUGCAGUAAUUUGGAAGCUACACAAACACAAGCGACUUUGAAAAUAGUGAAAAAAGUUUUAAUACUACUUCUAUUCCAUAAUACUUGUCACAUUUAGAAUUUCACGUCUCUUAAGAAAAUCAUUAAAUUUAUUUAAAUUAUAAUAAAAUAAAUUAUUGAAUAAAUUGACCAUUUUACCUUUAAUUUAAUACUAAUUCUCUAAAAAGCCAUUAAAUUGAAAUAAUAAUUAUUGAUCAUAUAAAAAGAGUAAACAUGGAAAAAGUAUUUAUUAGUCCUUGAAACCAUAAAUGUGACAAGUAUUUUGAAACAAAACUAUUUUUCCAAAUCAGACAAGUAUUAUGAAGCGGAGAUAGUAAAAUGGAAGCUCUCUCUUUGAUUUGUACCCAUAUUUCCUUCAACUUGAUUAGAAGACAUAAGCAUGGAUUUAUUGACUUUUUGGCUAAGAAUGAUUUUAACACAGCAGUGGACGUUUUAGUUUGAUUGUAGUUUUUUUUUUUCCCCUUGAUUGUAGGUGAGCUUUUCAAUGUUUUGCAUCUGUUUUUCUUAUCUCAGGAGAACAAGAGGUUUUCCUGAUCAGAUUGUAUUGUUUGGCUAUAUUUUUAUUUAACAUUUUCAGGUUAAUUGUGGUAUAUUAGGGAAGCCUAUUGGCUUGAAGUAGAUUCUUGAAAAUGUUAAACCUUUUGUAAUUCUUUAAUUUAAAUAAAAAAAUUUUGUUGCUGAUAAAAAAAAUUAUACAUAUGCAAUUCAAAAGGAAUUUAUGAAAAUGAGGAUUUAAAUUGAUAGUAGAAAAAAGCAACUAAAAAUUUAUUCUAGGACUAAUUAAUCGCCAAGUCGCUAAUGCUCAUAAUUUGUACAAGCACUCUUUUUUUCGACCAUUUUAAUUGUUGUAAAGUGGUGCUUGGUAUUAGGCAACCCUCUUUUAGUUUGGUUUAAAUUUGAUUUUUGGAUUUUCUAAUUUCCAAACUCUAUUAAUUUUAUAAUUUAAUCUCGAAAAAAAAAUUAUAUCGCAUUUAAUUUGUUAAAGGAAAUACUAUAGAAAAAUAUUUCUGGUUCAGCUGAUGCAUUGCAGCUCAUAGUUGAUGAGUUAGGUUGUAGGUAUUAGAUAAAGAUUUUAAAAUCUCAAUUGAUAUUUGAUAGAAGUCUCAAACUCUCCAUGCCAUGCUUCAUUUUAAAGUUGUUUAGUAUGAGCUAGCACUAGACUUAUAUUUGGACUUGUAUUAUAAAAAUAACUAUCAACAAUUUUUUAAAAUUAAUAAUUUUUUUAAUAAUUUAUCUAUAGUUAUUUAAAAAUAAUUAAAUUUUAUUAAACGUCAUUUUAAAAAUCGUUUGAUUUAUAUAACACUUAAAAACAAAAGGCAUGAUAUUUACCUUAAACUUGUUAUAUACGUGUAGAUUAUAAAUCAUAAUAUAGAAAAAUAAUUUUUACCAUUAGUAGUCAUUUUACAUUCUGAGAAUAGCUACUAUCAAAAUUUUAUUAAACAUCAAUAUUCAUCAGCUAACCGCUUUCAACCAUUAACUCUAAGGAAUCAACAACAACGGUUAGAUAUUAGGCACUAGCUAUAAAGUACCAAACCAUUGUUUCUGUCAAAAUCGAAAUUAAACCGUGGUCGGUACAUGUUGUAGGUACAUAUGUGAUUUAAUUUUUUAUAUAUAAUUUUCUAUUAAUUUUUUUUAAAAGCAUUUGAGAUAGUUCAACUUAAGCAAUUUAGCGUUAUUCAUAAAAAAAAACACACCAAACAUAGAUCAUUGAUAAAUGUCAAUCGUACAACAAGGAAGUGAUAAAUGCAGAACAAGACUGCAAUUUACACACCGUCACAUAUGAUAACAGACAACAAAGUCUAAUUCAAAAGAUGCUUGAGGACGAGUACUAUGUAAAUCCAUGCACUGGACUUCUUAUUUAGUGGCAUCUACUGAGUGAUUUUCUUCGAGCUAUUGUUUUAUCCAGCUCAAUCAAAUUAGAGAUCUUGAAUUCAAAAAAGGCAGGAACAACAUCUGUGUUGCCUCUCUCAAACUCAUAGGUAUGCUCCACAUAUAAUUUUCUAUUAAUUUUUUAAAAUAACAUUUGAGAUAGUUCAAAUUAAGCUAUUUAACAUUAUUCGUGAAAGAAACACACCAGACAUAGAUUAUUGAUAAGCGUCAACCGUACAGUGACAAAGUGAUAAAUGCAGAAGACUGCAAUUUACACACCAUCACAUACAACAAUAGGCAACAUAGACUAAUUUAAAAGAUGCUUGAUGACGAGUACUACGUAAAUGCAUACGCAGGACUUCUUAUUUAGUGGCAUCUACUGAGUGAUUUUCUUCAAGCUAGUUUUUUAUCGAGCUUAAUGAGAUUGGAGAUCUCAAAUUCAAAAAAGGCAGGACCAACAUCAGUGUUUGCUCUCUCAAACUCGUAGGUCCGCUCCACCUUACUGCCAUUUCCGUCUGCUCUCAAGACUUCGAUCACUCUAAUCGUGGUGCCACGUGUAUUGAAAUCUCCAGCAUUUCCAUUUGUAAGUAUAUGUACAUGGUAAAUGCUUAUCAUAUUCACUCUGUCAAGUACAGUGAUGUUGACUUCUGCCCACACGAUUGGAAAUCCUAUACAG